rnacentral:lncRNA from 1 species
UUUUUUUUUUUUUUUUUUUUAGUAGAUCUUCUUUUUUUUCCCCCCUUUUUUUUUUUUGUGGGUAUAUUGAUAAGCGUUACCUUUAUGUGGAUUCUCAGGUUUGGAGGGAGAAAAAUGUUAUUAAGCCAGCCCCUGGUAAAAGACGCUGUAACUGUAGAAAUGAAGUCUAUCAUAAGCAAAUUGGUCCAGGGAUGUUUCAGCAGAUGACAGAACAGGUAUACCAUUGCUUGAACAAAAUUGUUGAAAAUCUGAUGAAUCUCCUUCUCUGUUCAUUUCAUAAUAUAAGAGGCAAAAAUGUUGAUGGAAAUACAUAAUUGAAUUGCAACAUUUUCUUGCCUCCUUGCUUUCACUCACUGCAUUGCUUCGAGCAGGUUGGCCUUUUUGCUUUGGUUGGUUUCUUUGACCGUCAUCAUAGCAUCAACCACUAUUACUUCUGAGGCUGCUUCUUAAUUCUUUCUAGAUUUAUUAUGUUUUCUGUUGUUUUCUUUCAGGUCUGUGAACAAUGCCAAAAUGUCAAAUUUGAGCGGGAGGGAUAUUUUAUCACAGUUGACAUUGAGAAAGGCAUGGAAGAUGGACAAGUAAGCUCAGUCACCUGAUUUAACAUGCUUAAAAAACACAUUGAUGUUUUUUUCUUUCUUUGGUUUACAUGCAUUUGAAUCUCCAUUUCAAUUACCUGUUUAUUGCCAUAACCAAUUGCUGCCUAUCUGACUGUGGAAGUCCUUUGUUGCAUGAUGAAGCGUUUCUUAACUAAUACCUAAAAUUGUGUGAGGAUCAUCCGUAUGACUUUUGCAGAUUUUAAAAUAAUGUUCCCAUGCACAUUGCAGGAGGUGGUUUUCUAUGAAGAUGGUGAGCCAGUAAUAGAUGGGGAGCCGGGAGAUUUGAAGGUUAGUGUUUAAUAAUCACUUCUAAUGGUGAUAUGCAUCAUUCACUUUCAUACUAACACUUAUCGAACUUCUGGCAGUUCCGGAUCCGUACAGCACCUCAUGAUCGUUUUAGAAGGGAAGGCAAUGACUUGCACACAACUGUGACCAUAACACUGGUAAUUUCAUUCGCAUGGCACAUAUAUUGUACCUCCCUUUUUGUUUUUGUUAUGCAAGUAUUGCAAGGUUUGAUUCUUCAUGUAGUUAAUUUCUUUAUUAAAAUUCUUGACAGGUUCAAGCACUUGUUGGCUUUGAGAAGACUAUUAAACACCUUGACGAACAUUUAGUGGAGAUCGGCACAAAGGUCAGUGUCACACAUUUCUGUCUCACUUACCUAUAAUAAUUAUCCUGAUAAAUGAUUUGAUGAACUGCAAACGUCUGAAACAACAAUAACAUGUGUGAGCUAUGUUCAGGGAAUAACUAAACCCAAGGAAGUUAGAAAGUUCAAAGGGGAAGGAAUGCCAUUGCAUUUUAGCACGAAGAAAGGCGAUCUUUAUGUCACGUACGAGGUUCUUUUUCCCAUGUCACUAACUGAGGAUCAAAAGACGAAGAUCAAAGCAAUUCUUGGCUAGGGUAUAGAAUUAAAUUAUUUUCUUGGGUUCCAAAAUGUUCCCAUUGUAACAUUAGGUUAUAUAGAAAUCCAUAAAGAUGUUGAGGCUUUUGUUUUCAGUCAUCCUCGCUAAGUAGCAACAUACAAGUUGGACCUCUUUUUCCAGCCUUACUUGAGCUAUAUCUUCCUUGUUCUUCUUUUAAGGAAAUAUCAAUCAUUUGAUGCGCAGUAAGAACUGAAAUCAGAAGAAACCAACCAGUUUUGGUCUUUUUGGCUGAUCAUGCAAAAUUAAUGCUAUAUUGAAUGGUCCAUUAACAUAGAUUUUUUUUUUUUUUUGGCCUUUUCGGUUACAUGGUAUUAUCAAUUUAUUUAUAAUAAUUAUACUCCUGAUGUAAGUUAUUUAAAUUCAACUUCUAAAACUGUUGUUUAAAUAUUGUAUCAUAUUUUAACUCCUGAUGCUUCAUAGAAACGGGUCACACGGUAAGAUGCCUUGCAGAACCUAGUUGACGUAUUGACAAAUGCAUCCAUUAGCAAUCAACAUCGAGGCCAAUCAUUACUAGUUCCAUGCUUCAUGGCUUCGACUUUCCAAGUUUUAGUUGACAUGGGAGUUGGCAUCUCUAGCUAUAACCAAAUUUGGUAUUGACACACGUAAUGUAAGUGGAUAUCAAAAUCAAUAGCACAUCCCAUUUUACAACCAAGCUCCACAACUUCUAGAUCUGAAAAGCUCAAGCAAUACGCAGACGGUAAGAAGAAAAACUUCCAUUUCAAAUGUCAAGGGGAAUUGGAGAUUGCUCAUCACAAAAGUUUUCAUGGCCUUGAAAAUAAUUUGUCAUAUGCAUUUAUCCGAGCUUUCAUUUAGAGGAUUGCCAAUAAAAGAGACCUUUAAAUAAACAAUUUUUCAAAAUACUAUUUCCUCAUUGGCUGUGAAUACAAGGCAAUCUUACCACUAGUGAAAACGAAGACUAGUAACUAAUAAAAUAAUAUAAAGUUAAGUUGCAAAGUUGACAUGUUCUCCUACAUCACUCGAUUGAUGCAAGUUUUUCCUCAUCCACUUCAAAAGCUUUCCUUGCUUGUUUCAACUCCUCUUGCAUAGAUAGAAGUUCAGUACAGCGGUUAAGUUUUGGCAGGUCCUGCAAGGACCGAGAUCAAUUUCUAGUUCAGAGCAAGACUAAACAUACAUCUACCAAGAACCAAAAAAGAAACACUUGAAUGUGGAAGAUGACAAAUGAAAGAUGUCCAAGUUGCAGACAUUCAUUAGAGCUCUUUUGCAUUAUAGCUGUUAAUAACAAAUUUCAUGCACUCAUCUUAGUGUUGUGAUGUGUGAAAGUAUUAAGAUUUAGCUAGCAUUCGGGGAUCCUACAAGGUUUAAUCAAAUCAUGGUUCCCAAAACUCCAUUCCCCUUUGCGUCUUCUUCAUACACCAAAAUAGAGACAAUGUUUACUUAUUAGUGUUGAAAUAGGAAAGCUGUUGGCAUAUGUAGCUAACAUUCAACAACUCAUAAAUCUGGAGGGUAAAACAGGAAGAAAAGAUUUAAGCAAAUUCAGAAGCAAACGUGAAGAUAAAAGACUUCAUCGUUCAAAAUACCUUGCGAAUUAAGUACAGAAAAUCCUCAACUAAGAGCUUUCCCCUUUUUGAUCCUAUGUCUUGUGCUUUAUGCGCCUGCAUAAAGUUAGCAGACAGAUAAACACCCAUAAUGCUGCAUUGGUUGAAGUGAUCAUACCUACUAACCUAAAAGACUGCUUACCAAAUCAGUAACAUACUCCACAACAAUAUCCUCCACAAGUGCCACAGUUUCUGGAAGAGGCUGAUUAUCCCAAAAAAAAAAAAAGUCAUAAGCAUAUUGACAAUAUACCAACCAAUCUAACAUGCAAAAACUAGGCAACAUUUUGACCAACAUGUUUAAUGGCGAUAAUGAGAGAAUUGCUUGUUGAUCAUAGAAAAGAUAAAUAAUAAGAGAUUUGCUUGCAGCAGGUAAGUGUUGGCCUUAUAAGCUCCUCAUAAAAAGAUAAUAUACUUCUAAGCGUACUGGUGAUUUGGUGUUAUUACCUCAAAAAUAAGAAUUCCAUCCUAUUGGCUUGAGUUUGAUAUUACCCCAAACGCAAGAAUUAUUAGGACUUGAGCAGCGAUCAAUAUGCAUAUAUGUCAGCGGUGUUAACUUGCUUUUCAAGAUUUCAAAGGUUUUUCAGCUAAUUUGGAAUCUUAAAGGUGUACAUGGGCAUAUCUAUGUCUAACAAUAUCACUUCGGGUGCAAGCAAGAGUCGAGUACUUCUUGGAACCAUAUUAACUAAAAAUGGAUUGAGAAGGGAAAAAAGAUUCUAUAUGAUCAUAAUCAUCCAACAAAUGCUUAUGCGCUCAUCUAAAAUUUUUGAUAAACAAACAAACAAAAUCAUUAUCUAAUGACUCAUUGAUGGACUUCCCCCACUACAUAGAUUGAAAUUGAGUUCCCAUGAGAUUUCAGCAAGAAUCUGGCAAGAUACUUGGAGCAAACUCAACUCUGUUUGGUUGCUGUUAAUUGAUAUGGAACUCUGAUGAUUGAUAAUGCAGAUAUGCUGACCAGAGAUAAAAGAGAGUGAUAUAGAAAGAGGCGCAAGACAUAAAUGAAACAGAUAUUAUGCUUGUAGCGAUGGUAUAUAAUACUAAAUUGCAAUGGACAAAUUUUAAUUGCAGAGGGCAUUGUCCCUGUCAUUGUAAGAUAUGCAAAGUUAUGGUAUCACUUACAUUAGGGUCAUCUCCAAAACCAUACAUCAUGUGCUGCACUGUAGCAUCCAUCCAAAAUAUGAGGAAAAAUUAGCUCUAAAUCCAAGGGAAAACUUGCACAAAAGUUAUUCAUUCACUUACAGUCUUUCUGAAAGACUCCUCUCUUUCGCUUAAAUGAAGUUUCAGAAGGCUGCGAGGUUCCAACUUUUGAUUUUGAUGAGGGCCCUGCAGAUAAGUUGUUCAUCUUCUAUGCGCUAAUUGUUUCCUCUGAAUAUCUAUCACAGGGAUGAAUUUCUAGUCACCAGCCUAUCAAAUGCAACAAGAAUCCAAAGUCCAAUGAACUGAAGUUCAUCAACAACCAAUAUUGAAACACAAAUACAGGAUAAAGCACAAAGCAAAGGUAAGUAUCUCCUCUAUCCAAUUACAAAAACUUGUCACAUUGAGCAAGAAUCAUGCCCAAAUUAAUCACAACCUAGAAAAAUCCUGCAAUUCCCAACAAGUUGAGCUAAGAAGAACCAAAAAAUACAAACUAAAAACCAACCAAAGUUAAAUAAAGCAAGAUCACCAACGAGGACCGCAUAAUAAAAAUCAGGAAAAAUCCUAAACCAAAAAUGAUUCCACCAAGCAUGCGAAGGUAGAGAACAGAAAAGAAUUCACUCUUUUAUAAGAUAAACAAUCACAGAAAAUAAAAACGAAAGAACAACAGGAAAGAGUACAAACCAAAAUAUGUAUUGGAUUAUUGAAAGCAAUAUCCAACUGAAACCGAAUGCUUCGUUUUUAUUUUAAGAAAAAAAAUUGAAUCUCCACAAGAUACAAAUAAGACUCUCAGCUCAGGCUCCAGUUUCUUCUUAUCAAUUUAUCGCUACUCGUAUGUCGGUUUGCACAGCCCUCUGUUUUUUCAAACACAGUCAACUACGGCGAAAACAUAAAAACGCAAUUCCAUCCGAUCCGACACGGCGAGUUUUAAUGUUUAUAUUUUUUAUUCGGUUUGAUUUGAUUUUAACUGUUUUGACCUCAAAACCGUAAAUCAAACCGAUCAUUCUGAGAUUUAUUUUUCAUGUUAUAUCAAUUUCAAUAUAGUUUAAUUUGAAAAUUAAUCAAUUUUAUAAAAUUAAAAAUAUUAAAGCUCUAAUAAAUUUUUAUUUAUACUAAAAAUAAGAAGUGUGAAUUUCAAUCUUCAUACAGUAGAUUUUAUAACACGUGUAAUAUUCAAGGACUCAAGCAAUAUAAGUAGCAUAAUUUAAAAAUUAAAACCAAGUAAAGACCAAGUCUUUAAUGGAAACAGCUACAGCCCAACUAAGCCUCUGGAGUGCAUUGCAUCCGUAGUUGAAAAAUGAGGCCAUUCUUAUGGUCCAACCCAACUUCCAACCACCUUAUACACAUAAUUAGCAAUCAUAAAAUUAGGCAUGGGCUCUUUUUUUCUUUCCUUUUUUUUUUUUUUUUUUUUUUGACAUCAUGCAUUAUGCAUAGUAAUCCCUCUUUGUCUUUCUUCAUUUUAUAACUGAAAGUCAUGCAUUAUGCAUUUUUCAAAAAAAAAAAAUAUAUAUAUAUAAGCUAUUAACUUUAGAAGAUUUAACUACAAAAUUGAUAACACCUUUAUAUGAAAAAUUUAGUUAUUCCUUUCCCAAUCUCAGGGAAAACAAACAAACCAACCAAUACCUUUUAAAGAAAAAAGAAAAUAAUAAUAAAAAAAAAAACCCAACAAAAUGGGAUAGGCAAAGAAACACAGGUGGCGCAAGUGGAGGGCAGGUGUAAAAUACUUAUUAUAUGGAGACGUGUGAAGCCACAUUUGUGGAACCGGAAGGAACUCUUGUGUGUCUGCAGUUAUGGUAUUACUUGUUUUUCUCUCUCUUUUUUUCUGCCAAAGGGAUUAGUUUCGUGGUAAGCAAGUAUUUUCCGGUAAUUCCAUAAUACUGUUAGAUAAUAUCACAUUGCUCCGAUGAGUUGAGAUCACUAUUCAAUAAAAAUAAAAUAUGUAUUGAAAAUGUAAAAAUAGAGAUAAAAAGAGCACGAGCAUAAAAUCAUUAAAUUUUUUAUUUUAAUUCACAUAUCUCACUUUUUAUUAUUUUUAUUUUAAUCAGAUUAUCAUUUUACAUAUCCACCGUAUAAUUUCCCGUAUAUCUACGGAAGGUGCCCGAAAAUAGAGAUCUUUAAGGCCACGUCACUCACUCGCUGUGCCGUGUUACGCAAUUUGCAGUUCGCUCAUCUGCAUCCUCUGACGUGGCAAUCCAGAAAGAUAUCCCGUAGCUAUUCUAACUCAGAUUGAGUCGUGGGUCCAAAUUAACAGACGCGCUUUCCAACCUGACCAGAGCUACUGUAGUCUAAAACACGUUCCUGACACAGAGCAUCAAAUCAACCAGCCCAUGUGCGCGAACCUUGAACAUGUACGCACAACACUUGAUCGACUUCAAAACGAUACCGUUACAGCAAAGCUAAAUCACUAAUCAGGGCCCAUCUUCAAGCCGGGGUCCACCUGAGAUGGCCCAACUUUAGGUUCAAACAGAAAAUUCGGGAAAAGAUUGAAAAUAAAUUCGAUUGUUUUUUCGGUUGAUAAAAUUGGUUAAAAAGGGUGUGUUGAGGUUGGUGAUCAGUUUUAGUUUAUAAACGCAUUCUAACACCUUUCUUGCUCAUCUUUGUAUCUAUCACUAGGAUUUUCUUUGAGCAAGAACAAGAAACAAGGACGAGGAAUAAGACGACAAGGUGAAAAUUCAAAGAUUGUGGGUGCACGUAAACGCCUUAAACCUCGGUGCUGCACGCUAGUCUUUAUUUUAAUAGCCUUCGACUCGUUCUCCGAUUCGCCAUAGGCACAUAUAUAUAAAGAUCAAGGAAGCAAACAACAAAAAGAAACAUCAGAGAAUUGUUGUCAAGUUUUUUCACAGAAAUGGAUAGUAUUUAUUUAAAAACAGGAAUACACGGUAUAGCUCCGUCGAUCUCCGUUACAGGGGGUCUGGAGGCCCGUGUAAACGCAUCGCAGGUGAGUGCGGUGGGGCGGGAGAAAUCGACUGUGGCUGCAGCGCCGCCUCAGAAAGCGGCUUCGAGGUUUUCGUUUAGAUACCCUUUACAGUCUUUGUGGCCUGGAGGAGGUCAAAAUAAGAGGUAUAAUGGGAUGGCCAUAGACGAAGCCGUCUUAGUCGAUAAUGGAGAGACGAUAAGCGGUACUAAGGAAGAAUCCGAGAGUAGAACAAUGGGCUCAUCUGAGGGGCAAAAUGGUAACUGGGUUUUGAAGAUUUUGCAUGUCAAUUCUCUAUGGAAGGAGGAGGAGGAGGAGGGACAGAGGAGCAGUGAUGGUGGAGAGUCGAACAAAGAAGGUGAUGUUGAGAUGGUGAAUGGUACCGCAACUAACGAGGAGGAACAGGACGAGAAGUGCGAUGUGUGUAGAGUUAAGGAUGAUGACGAAAAAGAAAUUGAAUUUGAUAGAGAUUCGUUUUCAAGGUUGUUACGGAAGGCUUCAUUAGCUGAAGCGAAGCUCUAUGCACAAAUGUCGUAUCUUGGAAACUUGGCUUAUUGCAUACCCAAAAUGAAGGUACUAACAAUUGCUCGUUUGUUCUCUUUCUUUCUUUUAUCAAGUUUAUUUUUCUUUGAUUUUCUUUUUACUCUAUGCUGUUUCUGGCUAAAAUUAAAAUGGGUACAUUUUGGUAAUUAAGAAGGGAUUAGGGAGGUUUUGGAUUUUAUUCAUGGGUUUUUGGGAUAAUGGAUCCUGCUAUCUCUGGGAAGAUUUUGUCCCUCUUGCUUAGGUCAUGAUUAGAUCAAGGUUCAUUUGAGUGUUAUAGGUUGAAUCAUGUAGCUGAGUUGAAUUUAGUUAAGUAGACUGAAUCAUACAGCUUGGACAUUGAGAUCUUCAAGUUCUCUCUCUCUCUCUCUCUCUCUCUCUCUUUUGUUCUCUCUCUCUCUUUUUUUUCCGUUCUCUGCUCCCAUGGAAGGAACUAGUGGGAAAAUUUAUGGUUUGGGAUCAUUCAUAUCCGAACAUGAAUGCAUUUACAUUCUCUAAUUUGUGAAUCUUUUAUAUCCUUUGGCUUAUCUGCUAACAAUGUACCAAGUAAUAGUAUUCACAUUAGGCAGGUUUUUGGUUGGUCUGCAAAUUUUGAUUGAAUUGUUCACAGAUGUUUCUGUUAUAAUUUUCCAACAUCCUGAUUGUGUCGUUGGGCAUGGAAAGAACUUAGGAUUAUAUUCAAUGAAUUUGUUACUUAUAUCAAUUUUUUUAUUCUAUGUUGUCUGUUUUCCUGAUUUUAAAAUUUGUCAGUUUUAAUUGCAGUCUAUUCUAAAUGACUUAAGGUUGAUGAACUUUUCUGCUUUGGAUGAAUUCAGGCAGGAAAUCUCUUAAAAUAUCGUGGCCUCCAGUUUGUGACUUCAUCAAUAGAUAAAAGAGAAUUGGCAACAAAAGCAGAAAAAAUUCAGGCGUCAGCUGAUGAUCAAGAAGCCAAGGAAGGGCUCUCAAAGGAGGUAGAGGGCAUGGAGCGGAAAAAUAAUAGGCAUAGCAUAAGUGCAUCUACUGCUUAUCAGAUAGCUGCCUCUGCUGCUUCUUAUCUGCAUUCUCAUACAAAAAGCAUACUUCCAUUCAAAUCCUCAAAAGUAGAGGCUGAUAAGGAUUCAGCUGAAGGAGAUCAUGGAGGCAAUCAAAGUGUGAAUGUGAUGAAUUCAGAGGUGGCUUCUCUAAUGGCGACCACUGACUCUGUCACAGCUGUGGUUGCAGCAAAGGAAGAAGUAAAGCAGGCAGUUGCAGACGAUUUGAGUUCAACACGUUCCUCGCCUUGUGAAUGGUUUAUAUGUGAUGACGACCAGGAUACAAGAUUCUUCGUGAUUCAGGUAAGCUGUUGAUUAAUUUUGGGAAGAAUUGAAUUUCUUGUUUGGAAUGAGGCAAUUGGCCAUUGGCAUGUAAUCUCCAUAUAAUCAGAUUGGUGCACUUUGGAUAUGACGUACUGGAUAUGUUAGAUAUGCAAAAACUGAAACUUACUAUUUUUGAAUGGAAAACUGAAUCAUAUUUUAUUGUUUAUUGCGGUUAUCUCAUGUACAUAAGGUCAUUCUUAGUUGGUGUCUUGUUUCUGUUGUAUAGGGAUCUGAGUCGCUGGCAUCUUGGCAAGCAAAUCUACUUUUCGAGCCUGUUCAAUUUGAGGUAAAUUCAUUUUGAAGUAGACAAAUUCUAGUUCAUCUUUUCUGAAGUAUCUGCUAAGGAGUUCAGAAAUGUGAUGUAUUAUUACAAAAUGUUCAAUGAUGACUUCACAUAGAAUUAUCAUGUGAAAGAUUGAAUAAAAACCAUAUUCUGUGUACAAUUAAUUCAACUGAAGAUUUAAAUACAUGAUGCCAUAAUGUAAUUAUUAUUGUCUUCUCGUUACAGGGACUGGAUGUGCUUGUGCACAGAGGUAUUUAUGAGGCUGCAAAAGGUAUAUAUGAACAGAUGUUGCCUGAAGUACGUGCUCAUCUGAAGUCUUGUGGCAGACGUGCAACCUUCCGUUUCACAGGGCAUUCUCUUGGUGGGAGCUUGUCUCUGCUUUUAAAUCUCAUGUUGCUGAUAAGAGGGGAGGUGCCAGCUUCAUCCUUGCUUCCUGUAAUAACUUUUGGUGCACCGUCAAUCAUGUGCGGUGGUGACUAUCUCCUUCGGAAGCUUCAGUUGCCCCGAAGCCAUGUUCAGGCAAUUACAAUGCACAGAGAUAUUGUGCCACGAGCGUUCUCUUGCAAUUAUCCUAAUCAUGUUGCAGAGCUUCUGAAGGCUGUUAAUGGGAGCUUCAGGAAUCAUCCUUGUCUUAAUAACCAGGUAACUUUCCCUCUUAAAUGAAACAUGAUCUUUUUUAGGAGUUUUCUCCAUAAAAUAUCAACUAUAAUGUGCAUGCCUUGUCACUGCAGAAGCUACUUUAUGCUCCAAUGGGGGAGCUUCUAAUUCUGCAACCAGAUGAGAAAUUCUCUCCUCACCAUCAUCUCCUUCCAUCAGGCUGUGGUCUAUAUUUUCUAAGCUGUCCGUUGUCUGACAGUAAUGAUUCAGAGAAGCUCCUCCAAGCUGCACAAUCUGUGUUCUUAAACUCGCCGCACCCACUUGAAAUUCUAAGUGAUCGCUCAGCAUAUGGUUCUGAAGGAACCAUUCAAAGGGAUCAUGAUAUGAAUUCUUACUUAAAAUCUGUGCGCAGUGUGAUUCGCAAAGAGCUAAACCAACUAAGAAAAGCCAGAAGAGAGCAUCGCCGCAAGUUCUGGUGGUCUCUACUGGCACCACAUGGAAUAAAUGGUGUUGGAAUCCUUGUAGAGAGGCCUUUGGUGUCAAUCAAAAUAGGCCAAAAUCAAUUCAAUUUCUCUGCUGUCUUGCAGACAGGUAGGGAAUCCUUGAAACGGUUCAGCAGACUUGUUGCAUCACAACACAUGCAUUUGCUAGUGGUUUUGUUGUUCCCUGCAAGAUUUUUACUCAUGGGGGCAUACAGUGUGAUGAAUUUCCGAUGACUCGCCUGCUGAUUAAGGUAUUGUUGCAUUUCUGUCAUGGAAUAUUGUACAGGUCGCAGGCACAUGGCCAGCAAGAUCAUUCUUUAUUAGACAAUUCUUUAUUCGUUGCUUGAACAAAAAAAUACAAAGGAAGUUUCAAAUUAUCUUUAGUCAUACAUAGAAUUUGAGAUGUUGAAACGUUAUAUUGAGGAAAACCAUAAACCAAUAUUUGUUCACAGAAGUGAGAUUACCGUUUGUAAAAUUCUCAAAUCUGAUGGAAAUACUGUUAUGGGUAAUGUUGCAAAUGAGGAUUUAAAGCUUUUGAAUGAUUUUAGUGUUAGGCUGUCAAAUUACACCUACAUUUGAAAGCGAGAUUUGGCGUAGAUGUCCUAAACACGAAAUUAGGCUCAUCUUCCAUGUGAUAUUUGUAAUUGUGGAUGCUAUUUACUCGACUGACAAAUUAUCUCAACCAGACUUAACGCUAUUCGGAGCAUCAAAAUCAGUCAUCAAAAAUUCAGUUAAACUAUACACAUUAAGCAACUCUCUCUUUGAGAAAGGGACAAUUCAAGGUCCAAAGAGAAAAGGGCAGGAAAUUGAAUUAUAGAUUAAUUACAAAAUAAAAUAUUCUUUUCACGUUAAGCACAUGGACAGAAGACCAAAUCGACAAGCCGCGAGGCUAAAAAGUCAUGGUCCGCAAAAGGGUGCAACAAAAUGGUCAGUUGGAGACAAACUGUGCAUGUCCCUAGUCCAAAAUGGCUCUUCUCUCUGUGCCUAUCCAUCCAACGAGGCAUAGUCUGCGUGCUUUUUCGGUUGAGUCGUACGUAGUGUAUUAGUGUUUUCGGUGUUUGAGUUGUGUCGUUUUCAUUUCAUGUCAUUUUGUUGCUUCUUAUGUUUUGCCAUUUUGAAAGGCUUGAACUUUUGGGAGGGUGGACCACUAGAGGCCCGAACCAGGAUAAAACGUCUUGAUCAGUUGGUAAGUGCCAUUAAUAAGCCAAGCACAUCGGAUUGGAAAGUUGAAAAAAAGGAGGAAGAUACCAAGUCAUGAGAUGAUAUUUAUCAAGGGUUAUGGCACACUUGUCGUGUUUAGUGACCACUAAUUAGCAAUGAUUAUAAAUGCAAACAACAUAGAAUGACAUGUUUGUCGAUAUUAAAGGAUUUUUGGAUUAACUCAUUUAUACAACUCAUAAGUAAUUCAUUCCUAACAGUUUAGUUUUAACUCAUUUAUACAACUCAUAAUUAAUUCAUUCCUAACAAUUUAGUGUAAGUAUUUGAUAACCUUCUUAAUUAACCGCAGAUAGAAGUUUCAAUCUAAUUCUAUCAGCUAUCUUUUGAUAUUUUUUUCAUCUGAUUCAUAAUUAUAUUAUGUUUUUACUUCAUUAACCGCAUAAAAAUAAUUACUAAUAAUUUUUUUUUCCAAAUUAAAUGAUCAUUUUAUUUAUGAUUAUUUUAAAAAAUAUUUAAAUGUACUAAAAAAAAUUUAAUUCUCGUGUUUUAAAAAUUUUAAGCCAACACCAUCGUUGGUUUAAUCCGACCCGACGCCAACUUUAUAGGCGACUGUUUUGACUAUUUAUAGUUGGAUUGGACGAUUCAGUUCAAAAAGCAACAUUACUAAGGCCCACGAAGGAAUGGACAAAGCAAAUGAGCAAUCAGCCCAGACCAAGAUUUGGUGCAUCCAAAACUAGCCCCUUACGACGAGGAACGAUCUAGAGUUGGGUUACGUUGAUUAUACAGGCGGAAGCCAUCUAAACUGAAGAGUUGUCAAAACUUAAUGAUAUAGUUACUUUUGGGCCAAUGUACAAUGGGAUUUAAAAAUUGAAACACUCCAAUUUUCAUGCAACAUAAUUUCAAAACUAACUAAUAGUUCUUAAUCUCAGAUUUCUACACUCACUCCGACAUGUCAUGCAGAAACAUUAGUAUGGUGUGUAGUUAGGAGAUUGAAAACUGUAAUGCAAGAAGUCCAAAUAUCCUGCCAGGAACAAGCAAGGGCAUUCAUAUAAUAAAACCAAUCGAGAUGCUUGUUCCAACGUAUCAAACACCUACUAAAUUUACAUGGUAAAAGAACUAAAUGGGGAAAUGUACAUGUAAAUCUGUUUAACUUUUAUUGCAAAGUAUGUGAAACAUUGUUUAGGAUACAUAGCUUGGCCAGAAAAAAUCAGAAAAUAUCAACGAGAAAGUACUUAAUGUCUAUGUCUAAUUCAUUUAAUCCAUAGCAGGAAACAAGCUUCACCUCAAGUUCAAAUUACAGAUUUAGCUUACCUGCUAAGUACCACGAGUGCAUGGCAAGACCACCAAAAGACAUAAUAUUAGCAAGAGAUGAAAAACCAUGGAUCAUGCCAAAUUUCUUGUUCAUGGCAGCAAGCUUUGGAUUAGUCUUUGCAGCUUCCUGGUUCUUUGACCACCCAACUUCAGUCCCGAUGUUCUCCUCUCGCUCCACCUUGUGCCUUUGUCUCAUCAUCUAAACCGGGCAAUCAAAUCAAAAUUCACAAGUUGAGAAAACUGAAUAACACAUGUAACUUAUUAACAGCACAAGAGAAAACUGAAAACAACAAGAGAGUCACUGCAUUUUUUUUCCAGAAAUUGGAACAGUAUCAAAUUGAGAAUUAAUAUUAGUUCAAUUGAAUGCCAGCAGUUAUCUCUAACCAGUGGUUGGGUAGUCCUAGCAAAAGAAAAAUGGUAGUUGAGAACACAAAACUGGAAAGGAAAUUAUAUAUUUGAACCAUGAUGUAAUAAUUAGGAUCUUGCUUAUCCAAUUCAAAGAUUGGACCAUGAUGCAUCCAAAUUUUUAAUGUCUUGCAAAAUAAGUCCAAAACUGCAUAACUUUAUUUAUAUUUUCCAACUGAUAUAAGGAAAGAAAAUGAAAGUGUUAAGUGUUCAUUUUCUAUCUUCUACCUCAAUUUCCUCAACACCCAAGCGAAGAUAGGCAGAACUACAAAAACAUUAAUUAAAUGGUACUGCAAUUUUUAACAUUCUACAAGCAAUGGAUGAAUUGUAAUAGGAACUGAUUUCCAGUAACACACACUGAUACUGCAGAUGAUAUACAUCUUUGAAACAAAAUUUGGAUUGAAAAGUUGCAAGAGUUAUACCUCAAUAGUCAUGGGUGUAAAGACAAACAAGUUGGCAAGGUUGAAAGCCAAGGAGGAAAGCAAAAAGCCCAGCUGGUACUUCUCUGCAGUGGAUGCAGAUUUCCAUGGGUGCAGGUAACCAAAUGAUCCCACUGAUGUUGCACAACACACACCCACCAACCAAAAAUAUGCAGGAAACAUCUUGCUUUGCAAAUUACCAAACUGAUGUCUAGGUAGGUUCCUGAUUUCCAUACAAAAUUAUUCUCUUUUACUAACCAUUCUCAAUAAAUCAGACAUAAAGCCUUUCAUUACUUACUCAGGAAAUGGAAGCAAAAAAGAAAAUUCAUCCUUCAUAGUCAGGAACAAAAAGCGACCAAAUCGACCUUUUGACUCAAUUUGCUUACUGAACUUGUAAUUCACGAGCAAUUUGCCCAAAAGUCUUUAAAUUUGUCCAAAUUUUCAAGCAAUUUGCCCAAAUUCUCGAAUGAAUUUGGGCUUUUUAGAGCAAAUUGACCGUGAAUUAUAAGUUCAGGGGUAAAUGAGUCAAAAGCCCGAUUGUGUAGCUCUUUGUUCCUGAAUAACAAGUUCAAGAGGCAAAUUGGACUUUAUUUCGUUAAAAAUCUAUGCCUUCUAAUAUUUCAUUUGAAGAAAACCAAACUAAAAAUUUUAGUUUCAAAUUUUUGCGGAUUCUCCAUAUUCAAGUAACUCUACAUAAUAAGCUAACGAUGUAACACUGAAUUUCAUAUACACUUCCAAAUCAUGGGAAUUUGACAGAAUUGAGUUAGAUAUAACCGUUUGACUUGAUUACAACCUAAUAUGGGUAAACAGAGUAUGCGAUAGGGGGUAGAAAUCGAUUAUGAUGAAAGAGAUGGUACUUACUUGAACAUUAUGAUGCCACCGAUGAAGGUAACCCAAAGAGCCGCACCAAACGCCGUGGAAAAGCUGAGCAGGUGAGCCAGUUUCAAGUAAGUCGAUAACUGACUAACGGAUUUUGAUCCAAAUGUUUCUGGAGAAAAUAUCACUCCGAUGGCUAAGAAAGCCACCGCAGCUAGAAAUCGAGUUAACCAACCCAUAUCUCUCUUCCUCUCUCUGUCUCGUGGUGGAUGAAUACAGAUACAGGCUCUUCAAAUGUCAAGGAAUAGGUAGGUACCUUUCUUUAUGAAUUUCUGAAUAAUGGUUUUUCUUUUUAAUUUAUAUAAUAAACCUUGAUUAAUUUUAAUUAAAAUUGGAGUUGAUUAAUUAGGUGAUAAUAUUUUACUUUAGUAAACAAAAGACUGCCACGGAGACAUCACGGGGCUGCCCUGGAACGAUAAUUAGAGAAAUUUCUUUAUUUUCUUUUAUUUUUUUGUACUUUCUCGUAUUGUGAGGUGAUAAACUGUUUACGCUUAAUUUGAUUUAUUAAAACUGAAUUUAAUAAAAUUUAUCAAAUUAAAUACAACUGUAGAAAGAGAGGUAAAAAAUUUUAACUGCGACUAAGUUCUAAGUUGGAAUAAACAUUCCAUACUAAAAAGAUAUGUAUACCAAUGGUCAAGGGAGAAAAAAAACUGAAUGCCUUGAACAGUACUCAACCACCAAAGAUAGAAUUUCAUUCGUGUGAUAAAUGAGGCCCGUUAGAAAAACAAUACCACCCUAGCUGCCACGCUUCUUGGAUGCUACUACUAAGCCAUGCCCAUUUAAUGUAUUGGCAUAAAAAAUUGAGGUUUCUAAUGGGAAAAAUACACUAAAAAUUUAAAAUUAUAGAUAAAAUUUGUUUGAAAAUACACCUUUUGUUUUUUUAAUUAAGCAUCGAGCAAGUUUGGAAUAGGUUUUUAAAAUAUUUAAUCAAAUUUAUAUCAAAAAAAGACACUAAAUUCUAAAUUUUAUAUUAUGCUAAAAUGUAUGAAUUUUAAGUGUUAAAAGAACCAUUAUGCUAAAAAUAUUUUAAAAUACUUUCUCAACAUAUUUGGAUUCUAAUGCAGUUUAAAUAUUCAUUUUUCUUGAUUUGAGAAAAACAUUCAAUAAAAUACCGAGUAAAUUUAAAUAAAUUUAAUUUAUUUGAAAUGUAGAAUUUUAUUCAAUUUAAUAAAAAAAUAAAAUAUACUACAAAUUGUGAUUGAAAUUUUUUACUGUUUACUUUUUGGGCUGUUUCUAGCUGAUGGCCUAAAAAAGAGAAAGGUCCAUCGACUUCUUAAAAAUAUGGGCCCAUUGUUCCAAAGAGCCGUCGGCCUUUGGUUCAGUGGUCGGAUCCAUCAUUAUCGUUUGUACUCGUUAAGUAAACGCCAAUUUGGGCUCAAGAUGAAUCAAGUGCACGUUGCUCAAAUUUGCGAACCGAGACUAAACACGUGUCCCUCACGUGGAGCCAGGUCAUGCGACCGCGGACUGCAAUGCAAAUUUCUAUCUCCCGCCAGGGCCCAAAAUUAAAUCCAAAACGACGUAAAAUAAUUCCCUCUCUCCUAAUAGUUUCCACUCUCGACUCUUCCUUAACAAGUUUUAGGAAACAACACAACCUCCAUUUUUCUAUCUUUCAGUUCACAUCCAAAAACACUCGUCUUCUCUUUCUUUCUCAGGUCCAUGCCCUCCGCUCUUCUAUUUCCACUUUCAAAUUAAAAUCUCUGUUCUUUUCACUUUCCCCUAAUUUUAUACUCUCUCCAAGGCGAAUUCAAUACAAUGCUGGAUUCCAAUUCUCCCUCCAAAACGUUUCUGGGUGUCCGUUUCGUUCUCUUUGGUUUUGAUUCCAUCCACGAACGCCAGGUUCCUCUCUCUGUCUCUGUUUAUAUUUCUUUUUUGAGCGUUUUUAUUUUGGAUUUGUCAAAUUGUAGCGGAUUAAUUGGUGCCGUUACUGAUUACUAAUUUACUACCGUUAUUACCUUAAUGCCACCAAGUGUAGGUUCGAGCCAAGCUCCUUAAUGGCGGUGGAGUGGAUGCUGGUCAAUACAGCCAAAGUUGUUCCCACCUGAUUGUGGAUAAAAUUGUUUAUGUAAGUUAUUAUCAAUGUUUUUCACUUCAAUUUCGUCUAAUUUUGUUCUCUUUUUGAAUCGUACGAAUCACGAAAUGUAGGUUCAUGUAUUUUAAUAAAUGCUUUUAUAAUCUGUAGGAUGAUCCUCUAUGUGUUGCAGCAAGAAAUGAUGGGAAGACUCUGGUCACAGCACUAUGGGUUGACCAUAGUUGUGAUAUUGGAAUGGCAGUCGAUGCUACUUCAGUGAGUUUCUUCUCUAUUUGUAGUUUUUGUUUUUAAUUUUUAUUGUUUAUAAUUUCCUUGUAAGUACUGAAGGGCAUAUGCAUCUCUUCCUACGAACAAAAUCAUUAUUGGUGUCUGUUUAAGAUUUGAGGUCCUUACUCUGCCUUGACUAAAACUAUCAACAAAGGCGAAUAGUUUCUGCUUCUAGAACUUUAGUUUGUCCUUCUAGUACUAAAUGUGCAUGGAGUUGGGCCCUUACUAUUGUUUUUUGUGUAGAUUAUGUAUAGACCUCCUAGAGAUUUGAAUGGAAUUCCGGGUGCCAAACAUUUAAUUAUGUGCUUAACUGGAUACCAGAGACAAGAUCGAGAUGACAUUAUGGUAUGCACACACUGCUCGUUUUUCUUCUUUUACUGUAGCUAUUUAGGAUGGAUUCUUUCAUGUGAUUUGUGAUGUUAUAGCUGACUUUUUUGUUUUUCAUUCCUAGACCAUGGUUAGCCUGAUGGGUGCACAGUUUUCUAAGCCAUUGGUAGCAAACAAGGUUACUCAUCUCAUAUGCUAUAAAUUUGAAGGUGCGGUUUUAAUAUUCUCAUUGCCAGAACCUUGUUACAAUCCAUUAGGACUUGGGCUUUUAAUUCAUAUUUUAAGUUCCUGCUCCUUUUUUAUGCUCAUUUUCCUUCAUUUAAUACUUAAUUACACUCUAUCAGUCAGUAUAAUCUUUCUUUUUCCUGUCAGUCACUUGUGGUGCGUAUUGACAUUUCAUAGCUAAAUUCACAUACAUGUAAGCUCAUAGUCGCCUACUGAAUUAUCAUGUUAUCUUCUUAUCAUGGUAGAUGGAAGCUAGUAGCUGAAAGUAGUCAAAUACAACACCAAAAACCUGAAUAAUUCAAGAGCAAGUGUUUUUAUAAACUAAUCAAUUAGUAAGACAAGCCAUUCAAGGGUUGUUUCCUUAAAAUGAUGUCCUAUGCAGUUUCUGUUUUUGCUUUAUACAUAUUAUCGGCCAUUCUUUAGUUGGUCUUGCUGAAGUUUUUUUUUUUUUUGGUUGCACGCAUUUAAAUUGAUAAAGCAAAAAUUAUUUCAUUAACUCUUUUUGUUCUUGAAAUUUUUGCAAUAUUUGUUAUUAAAUAAAAUGCUGAAGAACUUGGAUCGUUCUAUUUGUGUUCUUAACCCUUUAUUAUGUUACAAAUCUUUUUUUUUUUUUUUAAUCUCACCCAUGCAACACUGUAUAGGUGAGAAGUAUGAGCUUGCCAGUAAACUGAAGAAAAUAAAGCUUGUCAACCAUCGUUGGUUAGAGGACUGGUAAGUUGGCCUUUUGUUCUGCUAUGAUUUGAAAUAAUUAGGUGUCUACUGUAAAGUAUGGAUUAUUUCAUAAUGAACUUAUUUUUUUCCUUCUGCAGCUUAAGGGAUUGGGAGCUUCUUCCAGAAGAUAAUUAUAACAAGAGGUGAGGUAUCUGAAUUUGUUGGAUUAGUAUUUGGGUUGCUGCAGUUGGGAAGAAUUAUCUGUUCUUUUUCUGGGUUGGGGGAAUUGAAUAACGAGACAGGCCUGAGUCACGACAAGUUAUACAUAUAUAUCUUUGUGUGCGUGUAUGAGUGAAGUCAUGACAAAUUAUUUAAUCAGGCACCAUAAUUUUCUUUUACUUGAUCGCUUAGUUAAUGAUUCUAUUAGAUCUUUACAUUUAACUCUAAUAAGAACAGAAACAAAUGCCUAAGUCUCACUGCCUGACUACAGUGGGUACGAGAUGGAGAUGAUGGAAGCUGAAGCAAAGGAUUCUGAGGAGGAUGUGGAGGACAUCACUGUGAAGCAAUCAAGUCAUCAAAUCACAUAUAAGAGUCCCCAUUUAAAAAUCAGUACUCCCAAGCCUUGUCAACUGCCCAAAUCAACUGGGGAACUGCCAAAAAUGCCACAAAUUUUAAGCGAGCCUGAAGGUCUGCCAAGUGCUGUGAAUAAGGACAUGCUAUUAACUCCUGGCAGGAAGCAUAGAAUUGAUACUGCAGUAGGUAUUGAUAAUACUUGUGUUUCUGAGGUGUUGGCUUGCCAGGUUUCUGGUGCUUCCAAUGAUGCUAUUUCUGUUGGGUUACCUGAUCUACAAGACAGAACUCCAAAGUCUACAAAAGGGUGUAGCGAUUUGGAAUCUAUACCUAGAAGUGCCAAUAAGUCUAAUUCUGAUGCAAGGUUUAUUGCUGUAAGUUAUGUUAGGAAAACACCAAGGAAAUCCCCACAGAAAUCCUCAUCAUCAAUUUUAUCAGGAGAAUUAGAUACUAAAGGCUCUCCUAAAGUACAAUUCAGUGAAUCAAUUUUGUCCGGAGAAUUGGGCAAUGUAAAAGGCUCUCCUAAAUUACAGUUUGGCGAAUCCAUUAAUAUGCCUUCUAGCAAAUUUGAAUUUGCUGAGGAAGCAAGUGUGGCUGGAAGUCCAUUAAUUAGUUGCAACCAAGGAUUGGAACCGGCAUCUUUGGUAGAUGGUCUGUCUAAGUUUAGUAAACACUCUCCCCUGGGUAGCGGCAAACAUGAUAACUCUAUGGAUGAUAUAGUUACUGUCAAUGCUGCACAGGAGUUAAAUGUUGAUGCUUCAUCAGGCAAAUCAUCAAAAUUCAAAAAGAAACCAUUCACAGAAGGUCUUUUGUUCCCUGAGAGCACAGCCCCAGAGCCUGAACAAAAUGAGGGUGUGAAAGAAAAGACCCCACAAACAUCCUUCAUUGGAUUGGGAAAGUCAAGUUUGUUUGACAAAUCUGAUGAUAGAGAUUUUGGGGUUGAAAAAUCUGAUCUUGUGGUUUCAGAUGCUGUGCUGCCACAGCAUCAGCAGCAAGAUAAACAGGUUCCAUCUUCCUUUGAAGGAAAAUCAGAAACAGAGAAAUGUCAGACGAGUGAUAAUUUGGAAGAGCUUCAUGAAGGAAAUAGGAACUUAGUUACCAAGCAAGGCAGGAAGAAGACGAUUGCCAGGAAGACUUUGGGCUCCAGACCGAAAUUGAAUAGUACUGCAAACCAAAAAGGAUCUAUUUAUUCAAAUAUAGUUUCUUUACAAAAUGAUCUCACAAUUGUUCUGCCUGGAGAGAGGACAGAUCAUGAGAAACUGUACAGUGCCAAUGAGCCUGAGACAUCCCCAGACACUUUCAAUGUUUCUGCAAUAAACGAGGCGGAUAAAAAAAAUUGCACGAGGACUGGAGAUAGUUUUGAGAUUGAGACUAAUUUUAUGGAUGAUGAAACUGAGGCUUCAGAGGAUAAGGCAGUUGAUUUGUCACAUAAAGCAGAUAAUGAGAUGGAACUGAAACAAGAGGGGGCUCUGCAUACAACAAAUGAUGCUGCUUCUGGCAUGGAAGAAAGUGGAAAGGAAGAGAAGAUUGCAGCUGAUCAACUUCAGCAGAAAGAUGAAUCAACCUGUAAAGUAAAUGGUUUGAAAGGCAAAGUAAGUAAAGGGAAAAGACAGCCAUCAGGUAAGGCAAGGACCAAGACAAAGACUGUCCCUCCUGUCCCUGAACAAGCAAAAGCUACAGAAGAUUUGCAAGGGAAAGAUAUUUGUAAGGGCAAUGUAGAGGAGAAAGCUAUUGAAAGAAAGAAAACCAAGCCAUGUACGACCAGUAAAACUAAGAGCAGAAAUGUAGAUGGGAAGAAGUCGAAGAGCUCCAUGGAAGUGGAGAAGGAGAACAAACCAAUUGAAGGUGGAGGUCAAGAUAUAAAUCAGCCCAGAGAGCCUCUUGGAAAAACAAUGGUUAAAUCUGAUAAAGUGUCAUUGAAGGUUAAGCAGAAGUCUUGGAAAAACAAUCCUAAUUGCACGCCAGUGAGAGAAGUUUCAAAACAAGUGAAAACUGAACCUGUAUGGUUUAUACUGAGCGGACAUAAGUUACAGAGGAAAGAAUUUCAGCAAGUUAUUAGGCGAUUGAAAGGAAAAGUCUGCAGAGAUUCCCAUCAGUGGUCAUACCAAGCAACACACUUCAUAACGCCAGAUCCAAUUCGUAGGACUGAGAAGUUUUUUGCUGCUGCAGCUUCUGGAAGGUACUGAAUACCCUGAAAGACUAUCAGAAUUGGCCAUGUUCCUGUUUAGCUUUUUUUAAUUUCUGAAAUUGCUUUGGGAUUUUUAACCUAGCGUUGCUGGCAUAAAAAUAAUGUAAUGCCUUCUGUUUGUUCUGCUAAGCAGUUUGAAACGAGUCCCAUCAUUUAUUAGUUAGUAUAUUGAUCUUCAAUUCAAAUAGAGAGACUGACGAGUGAUGAUAUAUUGAAUGCAGGUGGAUUCUUAAGACCGAUUAUCUAACUGCUUGUAGUCAAUCAGGAAAAUUCUUGGAUGAGGAACCAUAUGAAUGGCAUAAGAAUGGCCUUAGUGAAGAUGGCGCAAUCAAUUUAGAGGCUCCAAGAAAGUGGCGGCGUUUACGGGAGAAAACAGGUCAUGGUGCAUUCUAUGGCAUGCGUAUUAUCAUUUAUGGAGAAUGCAUCGCCCCGCCUUUGGUACGUUUUCUUUGCAAAUGAUAUUUGGCUGCACUCCUUCUGUUGUCUAGAAAAGAUUGUAGUAGUAUACUCUUCCUCUGCAUAAUGUCUUUUUGAUACACUUGUACCUCGAUGAACAGGAUACUCUGAAACGAGUAGUGAAGGCAGGCGAUGGGACCAUAUUAGCAACUUCUCCUCCUUACACUCGAUUCCUAAAAUCUGGGGUUGACUACGCCGUUGUCAGCCCUGGAAUGCCACGCGUUGAUUUAUGGGUGCAAGAAUUUCUACAACAUGAAAUACCGUGCAUUGUUGCUGAUUACUUGGUAGAGUAUGUCUGCAAGCCUGGGUAUUCUCUGGAGAGACACGUACUAUACAAUACCCACGCUUGGGCAGAGAAAUCAUUUGAAAACCUGCUGAGCAGGGCGGAAGAGAUUGUUGAAGAUUUUACACCACCGUCAGAUACUUGUAAUAGUGAUGAUACAGCUUGUCAAGCUUGCGGAUCGCGUGAUAGAGGAGAUGUUAUGCUUAUAUGUGGCGAUGAAAGUGGUUCUAUAGGUUGUGGAAUAGGUAUGCAUAUGGACUGUUUUGACCCUCCUCUUGAAAACAUUCCAGAGGAGGAUUGGUUUUGUCCUAAUUGUAGUGGAGGCAGUAACAGCAAUAGUUCUGCUAAGAGGAGAAGAAAAGGGACUUCUUCGUUAAAUACCAAGUAUUUUUGAUUCCUCGUCACCAUUUUUAUUACAUCACUAGCCUAGUCGCAGACGUUUGGGUGUGGCCAAACAUGUAGAAUUUGUUGUACUUUGUCUUGGUCGAAAGUGGUAGUUUUUGUAAAAAUUGCCUUCUAGAAACUUGUUAGUUUUGGUGUCUCGAACUUCUGUUCAGGCAAUAACGCAAGUACAUCUCUGAAAUAUAAACUCAGGACAGAAAGUGUCUUUCUCUUAUUAAACUAACUUCUGUUGUUAGAAAAGGAAAGUAGUUGCCCAGGUACGACGUCAUUGCUCAAGUUUCCAGGGGAAGAGAUGUAGCGCUUUCGGCUUUUAUUUUUUGGGCUCAUAAACAGAGAUAAGCUGGUCUGGCCCAAUUUCCACCUAGAAAGUACGAAACACAUAACCCGAACUUGAAUCAGUUGACCCUUUUUAACCCAAACGCAGGGAAAAUAGCAGUUGCUUCGUGAGGGAGUUGGGCUUUGUAGGUCAAUCGCUAGUUUGGUUGUUUAAUAUUUUAGGUCAAUGCUGGUUUGAAGAAACUGCUGCCUCCACUGAAGCAUUCAAUAAUACAUGAUUGUGCUGAAAAUUUUUCCCUUUAAUUGCUAUUUUUUAAUCAAAUUUUGCUUUCUAAGCCACAACAAAAUUUCUAUUGGCAGACAACACUGCAGUCUACAAUCAACGAGGUAGACAUCUUUAUUCCACCGCAAACCAAUAUUACCCCUCUACCCCAUAUUUGUACCACCACAAAUUUAAAAUGUACCAAAAAAUCUCAUCUCAAUAAGUACAAAUUUAGUUUUACACCUUUGUAUAGUACAUUAAUUCUAGCAUAUUAAAUCUCUGUGUACCAACUAUUAAGUAUGGCGCAAUUCAAUUUCCCAAUUAUGAUUCAUCAAUAAAUGAGCAUGAAAAAAUCAAAAACUUUAUAUAUUGCACUUAUGUGUUUUAAUUGACUUUGAUCCUUAAAAAAAGAAAAAAAAGAAAGCACUUCAUAACUCAACAUUUCACAGCAUGUCACAUGUUCUCUUAUUGGCAGAUUCGUGUUUAAUGCAAGUCCAACUUACAAUAAUUAAACCCUAUACCAAAAUAAUAAUAAUAAUAAUAAUAAUAAUAAUAAUAAUGAAAUAUCUAAUGCAAUCAAAAUAAUAAUAGUAAUUAUUGUUUUACCAAACUAUAUUUGACUUCUUUUUUUUUUCCUGCAAAAAAAGAAAAAAAGGGUUUUGGACCCUACAUUUCUCACAUAAUGGCAAAUCAUUAAAAACCCAAAAAAGAAAUUGGUACUUCAUAAUCAAAAACUCAUUUGACUCGUCUUUUUGUACUUUUCUUCGGUGUUUUUAUUAAAGGGAGAAUAAGCAGUAAUAGGCUAAUUAGUCUGAGAAGAAUUUGUCAGAUUUUGUGUGAUUAAUUAAUCUUAUACAUAACAGCUAUGUUUAUUCAUAACCCAUUUUUUAUGUGAGAGAGAUUACAAUUGCAAUUUCAAUUUCUUGCACAUGAAUAUGAUAAUACAAUCACAUGGUGCCCCUGACAUCAUCAUAUCUGGCCACGACUUCUCCUCUUUCCAAUGUUCCCAACAUUCAAACAUCACGUGUGAUUUUCCUUAAACCCCUCUUAUCCAUCUUAAUCCCAUUUUCAACCCUCCACUAAUCCUAUUUCUUCUUUUAUCCUCAAAAACAUUCCUUGCUUUCAACUCACCAAACUUGAAAUAAUUCUAAAAUUAAUAUACUAUAAGAUAAAUAUUCUAUUAUUUUACUACAUUUAUGCGAAACCAUAACCCAAUUUUUGUAUACAUUACUAAUUUUAUAUCUUUUAUUGGUUAAUAGUAAAUCAUUUGCAACAAAACGAAAAUCAUGUUUGAAAUUAAUUUUAGACCUUCUCUUUUUUAAAAAUAUACUAUUCUGGGUUUUGUUAAAAAAUUAUUUCUUUAAUUAUUUUAAACUUUAUAAUUAUUUUUAUAAAUUAAAAUCAAUUUCAAUAAUUUCUCAUCAAUAAUUUUGACAUUAUUUUUUGCGAAUAAUAAUUCAAACAACCAUAUCAAAUAAAUUGGAUAAGAUUUAAAAGAAAAUUUUCUAAUUAUUAAGACUAAUUCGGUGGGAUAAUAUUUAUAUUAAUAUUUAGAAUUUAGUAAAGUAAAACAUGUAAAGAUACUCUAACAUUUGACAAAAACGUUAAUAAGCAAUUCAUAGCAAUUAAUGCAUUUAACAUUUAUUAAUACAGUUAAUUUUGCAGCAAAGUCAUGAAUGGAUUAUCGAAUCAACAGUGAUUUUUUUUUUUAGAAAAGAUUUCUUAGGCUUUUGUGGAGGAAAGCACUACUAUCCCUGACUGAUAAAUAUAAAAAUAGAGAAUCAAGUUGUGAGAAUUCGUGCAAAGCCUUCCCGCAACCUUUUCUUUCGCCACAAGAUAAUAAACUAUCCAUUAAAAUAGUAAAUGAUUAAAUAAUAAAUAAUGGAAUAGCCUAAUAAAAACAGCAAUACCUAAGUAUAUUAUAAUUAUGUCAGAAGAGCAAUUGAUUAGUGCCAAGAGAUAGUAAUAAUUAACUGGCUAAUCAAUAUCAUUUCAUACUUUAAAGCUGUUUUCCACAGUUAAAAAAUGAAAAAUAGAUCAAAGAUGUGCAAGAUAGUUGUAAUAAUUCUAUCUAAAUUUAUAUUGUUUUUAUUAAUUAUAGGGUCUUGAUGUGGUGAGUUGCUCCAAAUCUGCAAGUCAUCCCCCAUUACUGUCCACUAAUGAUAAUUAAAAUGGUAAUUACUAAUUAGGAGAAUAGAAAAUGAUGAUGAUGAUGAGUUAGCGUAAAAAAUAUCUAUUUGCAAUCACUACUUUUAUUACUAUAAAAUAAAAAUUUCUAUAUAUACUUCGUUGGUGGAAAUUGGCUGUUUAACAAUUCAUCUAUGAAAGGAUUAAACCUAAGCAUGAAAUCGGAAUCUCAUUAAAUAAUAAUAAGAACAUGUCAAUUUGACUUUGCAAUUUGGAAUUUUAAGUGAAUUUUCAAAAGCAUGUCAGGAAUAUUAAAAUCCAAUUUUCAUCCCAUUAUAAUAUUUAUUGGUUGCACAAAUUUGAAAUAUUAGAGUUUGAAAUUCUUUGAAUGAAAUUAUAAGAGAAAUAAAAUAUAUUUCUUUAAUAUUGUUAUGAGAAAAUUAAUUCAGAGUACUGUUUAAAGAAAAUCAAGAAAAAGAAAUGAUUUCUUGAUUAAAGAUGAAUUUUAAUUGGGCAUUGAAGGAGAAAAAUCUUGAAACCAUGUGACACAAAUUCCAGUUGAAAAAGAAAAGAAGAAUAAGUUUAAGAGUAAGAAAAGCAAAGGAAGUGAUUGAGUAGCGUGGAAGGACAAAGAACAAAGAACAAAGCCGAUUCAUAAGGAUCCUCAAAUCACUUGUAAGGAAAGAAAAAGAGAGCGUUUUAACAAGUAAAGCUACCCACAAUUUAAAUCAAACAUUAGGUUUAAAAAAAGCUGAACAAAGUGAACCAUUUUAUGCAUUAAUUUGAAAAUUUCAACCCCAACCUAAUUUAUUAUAUAUUUGCAAUAAACGGUUCUUGAGAAAAAGAAUUGAACCGCUUUGUGCUCCUUUGCAUGGGAGAAUAAUGAUGCAAGCUUUCCAAGAAGCAAAAAUCACAGGCUUUUAGUUAUGACAGAAAACAUUAUAACCUAAAACCAUCAACAUACAUAAUUAGGUUUAUGAAGUUGGAAACCUACUUUGAUAAAUUCCCCCAACAACCUUCUUAAAAGUCCAAACUUCCCUUACAGAAUCACCAUUAUUGCUCUCCCAGACUCGGUAAUUAUUUUCUACACUUACUGUUACUGUGUCAAUAUAUAUAGUGAGUGGUGUGCAAGAAUAGAACAGUAUUCUAUUAGAUGCCAAUAGGUAAUAGUUAGACCCAAACAAACUCCCAAUGAUGGCAAAAGUGUAACCUUUGAAUUGACACCUCCUUUCUAACUCUAUUUCUUUUCUUGUAUUGAGUGCUUGAUUAGACCUUUUCUCUAGACUGGAAUAAAUAAAUAAAUAAAGAAAAAAGAAACCUGACAAACCCUUUUCCCACUGUAGGGUUUUUUCCAGGUUCCACCAUAAAAAAUAAAAAAUAAAAAAAAAAAGAAAAAGAAGUCUAAAAAAAACAAGUGGGCACUCAAAGCCAUAACAGGGACAGGGUAUGCUCUUAGACCAAUAGGAUUGCAACUUAGACAGAGUUAGAGUGGAUAAAGAAAACCCAUUUGAGUGGCAUUAGUAAAUAAAUGAAAUCUAGUGGAAUGUCAGAUUUGUCAGUUCAUGGAUAUAAAACUAACCAGAGAAAAUUUAUAGAACUCUACAGAUAAGACAUAAAAGAGAAGACAAAACCAGCUUCUCUAUCACCUUCUUCUGUAUCUGUACGCACCUGCUAUAACAGAGUACCCAAAGUAUCGAUCCUUUUAAAUAUCUACCCAUUAACAUCACAUUUAUAUCAACUGAACGGGUGAUUUAAAAAAUAAUUAUAAGAGAAUAGUCCAAAUAAACUAAGCAAAUCGUAAAAUAUAUAUUAAAAAAAAGUAGAAACUGGCUCUGAGUACUGAAAAUUUGAAAAUUCUGUACAUGUAGUAGAUGAUGAAAAUAAGAUGUAGAAAAAAAAAAAAAAACGAAAAGAAAAGAAAGAGAGUGAUAGAAGAAGACAAAGGGUGACAAAAUUUUCCGGCGGCCUAAAUUAUAUAUAUUUUGUACAAAAUGAACCAGAGAUUCUACCGCCGUUAACAUCUCAAAGACUUGUUCUUGUUGUUGAUACUCUAACUUAGCAGCUCAAUGCCUCAUAUUUUACUGGAAUUGGACGAUUAAAUCCAACUUGAGAUAGUAAAUUCCCAACUGCAGCGAGGUCCCGGCAAAAUACCCCUUGAAAAACAGAUGAAUUAGUAGUUCCUGAAGAUGUUACUGCAAUUUCAGUUGAACUGAUUCUAUUAGGACCUGAUUUCUCCAUUGUAGAUUGAUUUGAUUCAGGUUUUGUAUUCUGCGCUUGAAUUGCUGCAGCUGCAGCUACUUGUGCUGCUUGUAAAGCAGCAGCAGCUUUCUUCCUUUGUUUCUCUGCAGCUUCUUCUUCCAUUAUUGUAGCCAUUACACUUGUAUAACCCUUUUGAAGCAAUCUAUAGAGCAAUAAUGCAGACAUUUUAGCUCUAUCUUUGACUGAAUCAAGAUCCCUAUCAUCUGCAAAUUCACAUCUUUCAACAAAAUUUAUAGCCUUAUCAGGUUUAUGCCUUAAACAGAGCAAUAAAUGAGCUCUUUCUAAUUCAGAUCUUGAACAACCCCGCCUUAGUCCAAUUAAAGCAUAAUAAUCAACAUUUCCAGUUUCUCCAGAAGCUACUCUCAGUUUCAGUUCUUGAAUCUUUGUAGUCAAUGCACAGAGUUUCCCUGGAAUCUCCCUGUAUCGAACGUUAUGCCGUUUCCAGGCCGGACCUGGAAGUUUUCGGUCUCGCAAGAUUGAAUUGUAUAAAAGUUUCAAGUGUUCAAGAUCGUGCAAACAAUCAGGCAAGCAUCGGAUUGUUUCUAGAAGUGACGCUCUUGUUUCUAGUGCUUGUAUACAUGUAGGGUCAAGAGCUAAAUUUUUGUUGCAAUCAGCAAUCGCCUCCGCUAUUCUACCUGAUGACUUAUACGCAAAAGCUCUGUGCAUAUAACAUUCCGCCAAGAAUCCUUGCGGGGCCCCGCGGCGGCCUUCUACAAUCUUUGUGAAGUGGCGGAUGGCCUCGGAAUAGAGUCCUGCGUCAAGUGCGGCGAUUGCUGCGGCACGGCGGCGGAGGAGCAGCUUGAUGUGGGAUAAAAGCUGGGAAAUGCUUUCCGUAUCGGAUAAAUUUCGCGGUGGCGUUGGUGGGGCUGAUGAAGUGGAUAUGUCACCGGAGAUUGGGAAGUUGGAAAUGGAGAAACUAUCGUCGGACCAAGAAAUGCUUUCCCGGCGGAAUGCGGCUGUAGAAAGGCGUUUUCCGGUUUGUAGGAGGGCCAUGGCGUCCUCCAUAAGACCCAGAUGACAACAAGCUUGGCCCAAAACCAAGUAUCUGGAAGAAUUCAACAGUAAAUCCGUGAGUGAAUAUAUUCUUCACUGUUUUCUUAAACUAAUGUUUAACAGAUAAGAUUUGAUUAAUUAUGGUAAUUAUCUAAGAUCUGACUUUUACACGAUUGAAAUACAACUAUGUAAUGUAAGUCUAGGAUUCAUCUGAAUAUACAUUAGUUUAAAAAAAUAGGUUUAGGAAAAUAACAUAACAACUACCAAAUUUCUUUUAAAAAAAAAUUAAGUCAAUGAACUUUAAUAUGCAAUCGAUACAGUGAAUCAAUACAGAUAAGCCAUGACAAUUUUUCAACAUUUGACCCAAAAAAAAAAAAGAAAAAAAAAAGUCAAUUAUGUUAAAACCAGAGUAAAUUCAUGUGCUCUUUUCCUUUAUGAGAAACAGUAAAACUGUAAUUGCAGAAUUUCUGAAGUGAAAAUUUGUAAAUCCAAUAAUGGGCACCACCCCAUGUCCCAAAAGAAAAAUGUUAAACGAAGUCUGGCCCUGCAUUUACUCUAACCAAUAGAAAUAUGUCCACUGAUUUAACAAUGAAUCAAAGCCAUUAAAUUUGUACCAGAAAACAAAACAUAUGGCAUAAAAAGAAUACUGCUACUACUAUAAGUUAUAGAAUGAAUUAUUACCUCCAUUGCCCUUCUUUCUCGCAAUUUUUACAAAGCCCAGCCAUGACUUUCUUUUUCAAGUCCGAGACAGAGAAACACUUGAAGCUGGGAUCGCGGUCCGUUGAGUCCGAGGACGAGUUAUUAGAAGACAAGAGUUUGACUCGUUCUCUCGAGAGCUGCUGCGAGGAAGAUGAGGAGUUAUCAGAAGAAACCGAACCGGACUCGUCAUUUCCGAUUUUUAGACUCGGAAUGUAGUCUUGAAGCAUAUCCGCCACGUCCUUGAAUCGUCUAAGGUAAAGCAAAGAUCUAGCUUUAAGUUCUAAAGCCACUUCAAAGCGAGGAGACACAGCCAAAGCCGCGUCUAGAAGAUUCAGAGCGGAAACAAUAUCGCUCUGUUCCUGAGUUGCAAUAAGGUUUCUAGCGUCUUUAAUGUACUUAUCUACAAUCUGCAGAACACCAAAACAGAAAAUGUUAUUGUCGUUUCAAGCGAUCAAACGAACAAUGCAAAGGCCGAGGCCAUCAAAUCAAAGAUCAAAUAAUCAAUUACCUUUCGGUUGCUAAGCCACCAGUGUUUCUUUUCAGAACCGCUCAGGCAUGGAGAAGUAGCCAUUCUUGCUGAAGAAGAAACAACCAUAAACUCUUCUCUCUGUUCCUCUAUUUGAAAUCAAAGCAUACGCAUUUUAUUUUUUCUCUGAAAAGAGAAAAAAAAUAUAUAGGGAGAGAAUAUGGUAGAGAGGGAAAAUGGGAGAAAAGUGGAGAGGAAGAGAGAGAAAGAGAUGGUUGAUUUAAAAUCUGUGUAGAUUACUAGUGUAAAUAGGGAAGGUUGUGGAGAGAAAAACAAAGCCUAAAAAAUAAAAAUAAAAUAAAAAUUUGCCAGCUUUGACCUCAGAGAAAGCUUUGAUCCUUCAACUUCAUAGCUGGCACCACACCAUACCUUAAGAUUCUCUCUCUCCAUUCACUAUGUGGCCUAUACAAGUAGAGGACUAUGACCCUAACCCCUACCUUUGUAGUAAUAAAAUAAAAUAAAACCAGCCUCUAAAUUUUGGUCACCGGCUAAAUCCGGUGAGUUUCAUGAUUGUGACCUGAUAUUGGCGGUUACCCAUCACGGGUCCUCGGGUAGAACUACCGGAGAAAAGAUAAGACGCCAGCAAAUUGCCCCAAAAGUAAGUAAAGAGGGUGUAAGAAAACUCUUCAGUUAUUUAUUUCAGGUCAUAUUUAAAUUACUUAUUUGCCCUUCUGAUCCAAUGGGUUCUCCACACUCAGAAGUAAGUAACACCUUUUUCUCAAUGUGUCAAUUUAUCAAACCUAUUAUGGAUACACAAGUUACCUCACUUUUAAAUGAUAGGAUUCGGGAUGUGGUUUUGCGAACGACUUUUUUUUUUUUUUUAAGGGAAUUAAAAUAAAUAUUGAAAUUAUCAUUUAACGUCAAUAAUACUAUUUUAAUAUUUUAAUAUAAAUUAUUUCCAUGCAUAAGAGAAACUUAAAAUUGAAAAUUCAAAAAAUAGACAUAUGUGAUUAGUUAGUUUUUAUUUUUAUCUCUUUAUCUUGAUGUUAUUUUAUUUCCAUUUUUGAAUUUAUCAUCAUUUGACUUUUAAUUCAAAUUUUAUUGAUUUUAAUUUUUUUUUUUUUAAAUGUUCAAUUUGAACCUUGUACUUUGAUGCACAAGCCAAAUCAUGAGACUUUUCCAUCUCAUAUUCUAAAUAUUAUUUAUUAAUUAAUAUAUAUAUAAGAGAUGAGAGGUUUAAUAAAAAUUUAGACAGUCUAUCUAUAAUAUUUGAACUUUUAUUUUAUUUACCACAACAAGUUUAAAAAAUAAAUAAAAACAAGAAAUUGCAAGUUAAAUUUAUAUUCUUACAAUAAGAAUAAAUAGAAAUCGCCCAGAUAUUAACUUCAUUAAUCACUGUAUUUCAAAAUUUUUUGCCUUAAUUUUGAUAUUUGUAUAAUAAUUAUGUAUGUGUGUGUUAUUUUAUUGAAUUUAAUUAUGUAUCAAGUGUUCUAGUAUGUUUUAGAAUUAGGAGAUAAUCUAUUUUUGUAUUUUUUUUAAUAAAUAAAUAAGUAAAUAAUUUACAAUUAUUAAAUAAUUAUUUUUUUGAAGUUGAAAAUGUAAAAUUAAAAUAUAUUUUACAAUAAAAAUUAUUUAUUUAGAAUAUUUAGAUUUUUAUUUUAUUUACUGUAUGCGUUGCCAAGAGGUUAUAACUACACUAGAUAGUUUUUACCAGUAACCGUUGUUCAUUUAUUUAUAGCUCCCACCAGCCAAUAUUAUUUAUAUUUGUUGCAGCCAGGGCCGCCCAAUCCCCUUCGUCCAUCAUUUUUUAUUAGAGCAAUCAAUAACCAACAAUAAAAUUUCCAGGCUUUUAAUCUUUAAAACAAAUUUAUAGAUGAUUGAAUGAUUUUUGGCAGCACAGCAUAAAUUUUAUUAGAGGGUUGGGUUGAACUAUUUCAUACAAUUAAUAGAUCUGUAUUUAAUAGUUAGACCAAAUAAAUUUGGUAAAGAUCUUGAUCAAUCGUUAUUAGAUAUUUUAGAAUUUUUUCCUAUUAGUUAUUAGCUAAUUAUGUUUGUAUUAUAUUUUGAUAUUAUUUAUUUUAUUCAUAAUUAUUUGAAAAUAAUAAUUAAUAUAUUUUUUAUUUAUAUGAUAAACGAUAAUUUAUAAAAAAAUAAUUAUACUGUAAUAUUUUAUAAAAUUUUACUGAGCAAUUAACACUCAAUAUUCAUGAACUAACAAAUCAAUAUUAAUUCAUCUCUCAACCAUAAAAAACAGCUAAAUCAAACGCAAUUCAAUAUUCACGUCCUUCAAUUUACACAAACGUCAACAUCUUUCUUUAAUGAUUUUAAGCCACCAAAAUUAUCAAAAGGCUCUCAAACUUGUUAAAAAAGAGUCUAUAUUGCCAUCAGUCUCCUUUCCUCAUUAAAAUACGAAAAUGAUUAUUAAAAUCCUUUUUUUUUUUUUUUUUUUUUUUUUUGAAGACUGAAGAUAUUAAAGGUAAACAAAAGAAUACUAGCUGAUGCAGUUAUAAACCAAAUAAGCAAAUAAAUUCUUAAUCAAAUUUCAAAUUAUAUUUCGCGAGCGGAAAUAAAAGUAAAGUAUUUAAAUUAUUUUAAAAAAUGAAAAUGGAAACUCAACCCACGGUAUGGUUCAUUAAAAACUUCGAAAUAAAAAUCAGAAAGCCUUGAUUCUAGAAAUAACUAUGCAAUUUAAAGUUGCUUUAGCUAAAAAAAAAUUAUUCGGGGAUUAAAGUAGGAUCACAAUUAAACAAAAGGUAAAAGUGGAUUAAAAGGAGUGGGGAUAUGAUUGUCAUUAAGGAGAUAGAGGAAGGAGGAAUUAGUAAUCUUAGAGGAAGCAUAUUUACAGGGGGGAAAAAAAGAAAGCGACUCUUGUCUCGUAAGGCACAGGAAUCAUGCUUUUCCUUUUGGGGGUUUGCUUUGCUUUUUAUUUCACCCACAUUGAUUAAUGAGGCCACAUGAAUAUGGAUAGUAGCCAGAUGGGUUUGUCUUAAAGGCUCCAUCUAACUUCCUUUUCUCUUGACCCCACCCAGGCUCCACACCCCUCUUCUCCCACCACCCCCUUUGUAUACUAUACUUCCUACAAUCUCGUGCGCACCUACAACUCUCUUGCCACGUCAUCCUUUUCUUCCAGCCUAGUUUGUCUCCACGUGGCAUCACUUCAUUGUAGGUCCCAUUUUACAUAUGGACUACUGCCUUGUCCGGAUCAGCUUGAAGUUUUGGACAUUGCUCUCUCCUCUCUGUAGUUCUUGUUCUGUUUUGGGGUCCUAUUAUUAUUAUUGUUAUUGUUAUGCACCCAUUAUAUGAUCAAUGAUCUAUAGUCUUUCCAAUAAUUAUCAAAUUUUUGUAUAUUGCUAAAGAAAAAACAAUCAUUUCCAUAGUUCUAAAAUUAUUAUUCAUCUAUAAAAUUUUUUAAUCAUAUUAAUAUUUUUACUAUUAUAAGAGCUUAACAAUAAUUCGAAAUUUUAAUAUCUCUUUUUUAUCGUAGUACUGUGAAAGAAUCAAAUUAAUCUCAUAUCUUUACCGAAUUUGUUUAUAAUUAUUUAGAGAAUUAAACUUACCGCCAUCAUUUUUUCCACCUUAAUCCUCGGAAGAUGCUGUAUCAAGACUGCAAUUAUAUCUUCACAUUGGUUUAUGCAAAGGAAGAAUCGUGAUGAUGACAAGGGCAAUCUUUAAUCUUUACGAUCGAUGUUGGUUGAAAAACAGUAGCCGGAGAUUCACCCAUCAUUGACCAACCCAUGAAAGAAUGGGAACUUCCAUUUUUCACUCAUACAUUACAUGUAUCUAGCAAACCCAUUAGUAGAGAGACCACGACAUAAGCAUUUUUUUUUUUUCUAUAUAUGGGAUAUCUAACGAAUCGAAAUAAUAUUAUCAAUUAUACAGUAGAGAUAGUCCUUCAUUUCACUAAUAUUCACCAAAUUAGUGAUAACUUUUAUAAUAAAAAUAACUCUAAUUCAAAAUCUUUCACUCCAUAUAUUUUCUACAAGAGUUAGAAAGACUGACUAGAUUACACUUAAUUAAUAUAUAAUCAAAUAUUUAUAUUAGUAAAUAUUUUUGUGGUAUUGUAUUAGGACAAGCUUGUUAUUUAUCGCUUAAUAGUGCGGGAUACAAAUUCGUGGUUGAACUCCAUAGCUAUUUAGCAAGAAUUUAUGUAGUGCGAGUUAUGUGCUGGAUUAUAACUGAAUGGAUAAUUUAUUCACAAGGAAUUUUUCUUUAAAUCGCAUAAAAGAAAAAAAAAAAGACAAUUUAAUUCAGUUGAAUUAACUAACUUUUAUUUUUUAUUAAAAAGGAUUAUUCUCUUCUAUCAUUGAGGUCUUACACACAUAAGUUGGGUUGUUGUCCCUGUUCCCGUAAGUUUGGGACCAUCGGACCCCAUAGCGUAGUAAGGUUGGUUUCUUCUAUUAACAUAAGCGUACCACUGGUACAGCUAAGCAAUCCAAGCUGUACAAAUAAAGGGGCCACAUAUUUUGAUGAAGGCAGACCAAAUUCUAGGUCGAUAAUAGAUAUCAUCAAUGGAUGAAACUUAAUAUAUAAUUUAAAAUUUUGAUUUACCCAUGUGAAAAAAUGAACUACUUAAUGUACCAAUUUAGGUAUUCCCUUUUGAACAUGUGAAUUGAAUCUUUUGAUGGACAUCUCUCACUUACUAUAUAUGGUUCAUCCCAAUUAAGCAAAUUUUCUUGUUCAUCCUGUCAUGUUUUGUCAUUUUGAUUAAUGGUUAGGUAAAACGGUGUAGAAGAAGGGAAUGUAAUUGCCUUUUUUUCUAGGGCAGGUGCCCUGUUGAGUCUAUUCUUGUUUCUUUUAUUUUGUAAGAAAAAUGGGCCAAUCCCUAAAUAGGUAGGAUAACUUGUCCUUAAAAAAGUUUCCAAAUUGAAAAGGGCACAUGCAAGAAUAAAUGAACAACAUAUCAUGCACCCAAUAAGGGCGGGGGGUUUCUGCGUAGGACACAUGUAAUGUCUCUACCCUCAUUAGAAGCAGAAUUGACUAAAAUUACAAAGAUCAGUAUAAAACUCCCUUAUCAAAUGACCCAUUAAUGAAAGGACAAUAGCCCUUUAUUCUUGGGCACAGCUUGAUAAGACUAUCAUUGGUGCUGUAUACUUUCACAUUCUUUAAAGAUCCAUUAUCUUAUAACUACCUUUUCUUGUCAUUCCUUAUAAUUCAUGGUAUUUAUUUAUUUCCUCAUAUGUAAGGUUCAGAUGGCCACAUUAGUCCUAACAACUACCAAUUAGACUCUUAUUUCUCUCUCUUUUUUUUAAAUAAAUAAUCGAUAAUAGAGGGGUUUGCAAUUUAUGGAGGUUGACUUAAAGAAAAGGACGGAAGAAAGAGAAAAAAUUUUAUAGCUUAGGUGGGAAUUGGAAGCCUUAUGGGUGAAAAAAGAAUGUCAAUCCAAAUUUAUUUAACUUGGAAUCAAAUAAUUCAUUAUUAUCUAUAUUUUUUUUAGGAAAUAAUUAUCUUUAUCAUCAUUAUAGAAAGUGCAUGAAAAUAUAAAAAUGUGAAUUAAGUAUGCUCUGUUCGAUUUUUUCACUUUUUUUAAGAGCAUAAAAAAUAGAUUGUCUUUAAGUUCGAACUCUCUUAAUUAUCAUUUUGGUAAUUAUCAGUUUUGAUUCCUAUGACUUUGAAAAUAAAUUAAGAAUAAAAUGAAACUAAUACAAAUUGUUGAGAAACAAAUCAAAAAUGGAUUAUAAAAAAAAAGAAGGAAGAUAGUACCCACUUAAGCUUAAAGCAAGAUCCUUAUUUAAAGGGGAAGUGAUUAACCACUAAUCACCAUUAUGUCUAUUGAAAAUCUCUUGAGAUUAUCUUAGUAAUAAAAAUUAAAAUAAAGAAUUAGUGAUUAAAAAAAAAAGAUUACUGAGAGACUCUCCCAUUCUCUAGACAUGUUAGUAUCAAAGGAGGCAAAAUGUCAGUGCAAAGUCCUAAAGAUUCCUUUUAUUUUAUCAAAAACACACAUUUAGAUAAGGCUCUUACACUGUGGUUUUUUGACGGCUUAAUAUUUGGCUUAUUAUAAGAGACUUAACCAAUCAUGUUAGAGUUAAUUCAUGAUUGGUCCAAAUGCGUAAUGCUCUCUUUUCAAAAGGGGGUUCUGCAAAAAUCAGAGGAACAAAUGAGGGGAGCACGUGUCUUUGGAUGAAAUUUCACGUGCAGAUGGAAAUUAGAGAUUAAGAGAAGAGACAUGUGCAAGGUUUUUGAUUUGAGAAUGGGUUGUAAUGUAAUGUGUAAGGGGCUUAAAAAUGGCCAACAAGGCCAGCCUAAUUAGGGUGGCGUCGCUGUUGCUUUACUGAAAAGUUCCUAAUCAUGCACCUAAUGUAACAUGGAGAAUUUCUGCAAAUUUAAACGUUUGCAGGAGCACAGCGGUCUUUAUUUAUUUAUUUUUAGUUUUUUUUAUAUGCCAGACAUAUUUUUCAAAAAAAUUCAUUUUAAUUAUUAAGUUCAGAAAAGAAAAUCAGAAUCUCUCUUAGCUUAUGGCAAAAUUUAGUUUGGAUACGCAUGAAACGAAAUUAGAAAAUUGAUUUAUAAUAACUCAAUUGAAUUGAUUUUGUUGAACAACCGAAUAAAAUAAUUGAAUUUGAUUUUUCAGUAAAACUCGAAAUUAAACAAUCAAAACAACUAAUAUCGUGUUUUCAUUUUAUCUCUAAAUUAAAUAUUAUAAAUAUAUAUAUAAAAAUAUGUGCAUAUCCUAACUAAAUUCAGUAAAAGAAAAUUAGGUUGGAUGUUGACUGUUGAGGGCAUGAAAGGCGUGAUGGCAUAAAUAACAUCCUUUUGAUUUCUCAAAAUCAUUUUUCUGGCAAACAUCUUUAAAAAAAUAAAUAAAAAGAAUAUAGCGAUGGCGUGUCUUACAAUGCCAAUAUUUUACUAUUAUUGUUAUUUAAAGGGAACAAAUAACAAUUUCCCAAAUCAGCAGUUAACAUUUUUAGCGGUUUUGAUAUUUAUUAAUGUAAAAAAAAAUGCAUUUAAGUCUAUAAUUCAUGCAUCUAACGGUUAAUCUAUCCUCUUCUCCUAACUGCCAAUUGUGUGUAAAUUAAAUAAAUGAGAUCCAAUACUUUAAAUACUUUAAAAUUGAUCUCACGAUUUCCAUUUUAAAAUUGGGGUAGACUAUGACUUGGCAUCAUUUCAUUGGUUGGUAAAAUGACAAAUCAGAUUUUUUAUUUUUUGUCCUUUAACUUUGUGGGAGUGGUUGGAGGGAUUUGAAUUUCUAUUUACAAUUUAGGUUAAACCAAUUCAAUGGCACUCCACUUCUAGAUUCUUCUAAGGGAUAUAUAUAUAUUUUUAUUGCAUAUAUCGAUAUGAUGUACAUUUUUAUAAGAACAAUAAAAGAUAAUCUAAUAUACUAUUAAUAAAAUCAAAAUUGAGAUUAUAGGUAGUUUGACUUCUUGAUUUAUAUACACAAAUCAUAAUUCAGCAGCUUAGAAUUUGCGUUUUUAUACAAGAAAAAUGCGUUUUUUAAUUUAAUCCCAUUACUAAUUUCUCUUCUUUCCCAUUAGAAACUCUAUCUCUUGCAAGCAAUAGGCUGUCUUUCUUUAUAUUUUAGUUUAAUCCAAGAAAAUUAAGCAGCCUAAUAUAUAUAGCUUAAUCAUCGACAAAAGUGAAGGAAAAGUUGCAGAGACACCGGUCGGGGCUUAGGAUUCAGGGCCAUUGACAAAACUUCUCCAUUGACAGCCAUGCACAAUAGUACCAUUCAACAUCUAUAUAUCUUUGACCACAUGCAUGCUUUCUUUAUUUUUUUUUCUAAGAAAAAGAAAAAUAAAUUCCAAAAUGUCAACUUCAUUGGAUCUCAUUUCACAUUCCACUACUAAUAUUUUAGAUCUCGUUUACAGGUCAGUAAUUCACAUGAUUCUUUUAAAUAAUUAUUUAAUGCAAGAACAAAGAAAUUCAAAUUUUGACUGUCCAUUGCUAUAAAAUUAAGUGAAAUACUAAAGUUUAGAGUGGAUGAAAGCUAAAACUUGUAAAAAGAGAAAAGAUUAAAAAAAAUAAUAAUAAAGAAAAAGAAAAGUCUUUUGCAAUUAUUGGAAACAUGUGAAAAGGUUUUAGUGUUCCUGGAGAAUAGCUCAGUUCUGUGCUGCUGCUGAUAAGACCUUUAGGGUUUUUGUGGAAUCUUUAGGAGCCAAUUUCCUAGCGAGCCAGCCUUUAUUUAAAGCUUUUCUUCUUAAAUGAUGCCUAGAAUAAAGGAAAACUAAACCUAGCAAUUGAGAGAAGAAAAGAAAAGAAAGGAAAGGAAAGGAAAGGAAAAUUCUUUUCACAGAAUUCACUCUACCCUUCACAUUCCCUUUGCUUGCCAAAAGUCUAUUCGCAUGUCAAAAGCUUCACAAUCUGAUAAGAAGAUAUAAUCUCUGAUUGAGUAAUUAUUAUUAAUAGAGGGAAAUUAAUUAAUUAAGCAAGCUUAAGUACGUACUGGUGGAUGGUACAGAAGCAAGUGGUACUGGAGAUAGAUAGAUAGAUAGAUAGAUAGAUUCUCUAAUUGGGUAAUGACUAAUGAGAGAGAAAUAGAAAGUAGAAAUGAUUCAUAGACAACAUUGUUGGCCAUAUAUGUCAAAAUCAGUGCCAUACUGAGACUAUCAUAUUUUUGUCUUGGCUUAGCAUUUGCACAUGCUUAUCUCACUCACUGCUGCAUCUACAUUGGAACUUCUCUGUACUUUCACUUUCAGAGAAAACUUAACCAUCCUUCAACCUCUAUACAGGCUACCUAAACGAAGAAAGGUUAUUAGCUUUGUACUAGAAAAAUUCAAGUUCCCAUUUUGGAAAUUUUAAUUAUUAUAAGCUUUGAAUUGCGUACUUCUCGCGUGGUCUCUUACAUAUUCUUCUAUCUUAUAGAAUUGACAAGAACAAUAUUACAUUUUGAGAUUUGAUUGCUCUGGUAGUCUGUUGCCUCGCGCAGGUUUGAAAUACAUCUUUUAUGCUUAAAUAUCUCAUGGGAAAAAAACAAGGGAAAAAAAAAAAAAAAAAACCCAAUAGAAAACUAUAAAAAUUUAAGUUAUAAUGGAAAAUUUAUGAUAUUGUCAUCUGUCCAUCAAAUUUGUAAAAUUUGAAUAAUUUUUGAAGCUGAUCAUAUUGGGUCCUCAAACCUGUAAUUGACAGAGAUAAGAUGAUUAUUUUCUAGGGACCAUGACAAUAAUAUACAUAUUACGAACAAUUUUUAUUAAUUUGUUGAGUUAAAAGGAAAAUACUCGUGUUAUAUAAUUUAUAAUAUUAUUAUUUUGGCAUUCAACCUCGUAAGGAAUAAAAGAAAGAAAAUAAAAUAAAAGGCAAGAUGCUUUUUGAUCAAGAUAAAUCAAAAAGGUUUCCUUCUUUAUGGGUUUUGUUGAUAUUUUUCAAAGACCAUCAGUGUUACAUUAUUCAAACCGGAUUUUAUCAUAGGAUUUCUUACUUUCAGAAAAGGUCAUCAUGAACCAAUUGUAUUCUUCAAACUUGGAAUAUGAACACAGGUAGAAUUGAAAAUGAAUGAUUUAAAGUUUGUUGAGAAAUUUCAGAAAACCUUGACCAUAAAGAUUUCAGGGAGAAGACAUUUCUUACAUGUAAAGAAGGUUCUAAAUUAUUGUCCUUUUUCAAGUUUGCUAUCCAUCAAAGACAUGUAAGUAAAUUUCCAAAAAUUUUAGCCCCAUGAAUUUUCUAUUUGGACUUGUUGAGUCAAUAAGUCAUCUCUUUACGACAAAUUAAAAAUCUGUCCAUUGAAUCUUUGGGUCCAAAUAAGAAGUCGGUAGUUUUGUAUUAGUUGGUAUAAAUCUUGGGUUGGGACUCUGAUUUUGAUUUAAUGCCUUGUCUUUCCUUUUUGUAGAAUUUUUUUUAAGGUAAAAUUUAAAUAAAAAAAAAAAAGUUGAAGGUUCAAAUACAGUUAGAUUAUUAACGAUUUUUACUCAGAAGACUAAUUUCUUUCACUGGAUCAAAAAAAAAAAAAAAGGGGAUUUUUAUAUUUAUUUUUCUUAUUUCUAUAGAAAUAUCAUUAUAUACUCAAAUUCCAUUUUGUUUUUUUAUUAAUGAAUUGCUAAAAGUUUCUUAAAAAGAUUAUAUGCACAUAUAUAUAUAUAUAUGUAUCAACAGUCAGAACAAUAAUUCUUCUGUAGCAAGCCGAUGUGCGUGUCAUAGGUCAUUUGACUAGUUUACCAUCCAAAUGUAAAAAAUCAGAUUAGACAUUUGGUGCUUAUUACUUUAAUAAUAAAUACAAUUGCAUAUUUGUUCAUAAAUUGAAAUAUGAAUUGGAAAAAUAUUAAAUUAUUCAAAACACCUAACCCAUUUUGACUAGUUUAUUAUUGAAAUCUAAAUUAGAUUAAAUAUUUGGAGAUCCAAAAAUAAUUGGUUGCAAGGCUAGUAAAAAUGCAAUGCUAUUUACUUAUAGAGCAAUGUUAUUUGUACACUUUAUAUAUAUAUGUUACCAUUAUUGUCUCGCUCAAUAUAGUAAUUUUUGUCACGUGAAAUAAAGAAAAGUGCAUGCUAUAUAUAUUUUUUUUUUUUGAUGUAAAAGCAAAUAAAAAUUAUACAGAGAAUUUUCCUUUUAUUCACAUGAAUACGAUUGUUAAGUUGACAAUGGCAGUAUUACAUUGACGAGUCGAAUAACAUUACAAAAAGAAGAAAUGUAAAUUGCAUAUCAGUUUAUAGAUUGAAUCUAAAUUUAGAAAAUAUUAAAUUUUAAAAAGCGCGUAACCCAAAAAUCAAAAUUUGUGGCCUGGCCUGCCAAAUGAAAUAAAAAUAAAAGGAAAAAACUGAAAAAUAAUACAGAACAUAAAUAAUUAGAAAACAGUAAUGAUGAGUGCUGGACUGAAAACAAAGUGUAACCGGACGAAAGGCAUCAUAGUACUAAUUCAGUUGCAAAGGAUAACCUGACAAAGGCAUAAGGAAUCUCUGGUGUUGGACCAAUAAACCUAUCAAUUACUGUCAUCAAUUAGAUGAUUAAUUGUUAGCUAUGUAAAGUCUCUAUCUACCCAAUCCCUUACGACAAAGGAACAACUGCACUCCACAUGAAAAGUUGGAUAAUCUUCAAGAACGACACCAUCAAACCAAGACAACCUCAUAUAUAUAUAUAUACAUAUUACUAAUUAAUUUGUAGGGGAUAAUUUAAUUUAACAGUUGAAAGCUUCUUUCUUUCAUCGAUAGAAAAAAUAAUUACUAAUGUUAAAAGAUACUAGCUUCUUUCUUUCAGCGAUGAAAAAGAAUUAUUAUAUCAAAAGAUACAAUAAUAUUAAAAAAAAAAAGAAAUUAUAUGUAUAAUAAAAAGAAUCACCAUAUUUCAACUUGAAUGAUUCAAAGAGUAUAAUAGAUUUCAUUCUGACAAUAAUACAUGAGCAAUCUCUAAAUUAUACUACAUAAAAUGGAUAACUAACAAUAGAGUAAUCAAAUACAUGGGGAGAAGAUUUUUCCUUUCAAGUUUUUAAUAGGUAAUCAUACUUAAUGGAGAUUAAUUUCCUGUAUAUAAUUUUGAUUAGAAAGAAUUAUUUGGUCUAUAUCUAAAGAAAAAUUGAAAAAUUAAGACUUAAUGACCCCAAGAACUGUUCCUUGAAGUGAAACUGAAUGCUCAAUAUCACCAAUGUGAAGACUAUGUAGACCAAUUGGAAUUCUUCGAAUUCCAUAUUUAUCCACGACACUCAAAUACUUGCAUACGUGUAUAUUGAUUCCUACUCUUUGUUGUGACCCUGCUGCCACGUGUACUUUCUCAAAGGCUACCAAUUGCUUAUGUGGCGCCCAAAGUCCAGCUGGCGGUGUAGAGUAGACAAGAAGUGUGUAAGUUCCAUCUUUGGACCCAACAUUCUUAACAUCAACUUGAAGUCCUAAAGAAAGUCUAUUACACUUAGUAUGUGUAACUCUAAUUGCCUUCCCUGAUAUGGUGGUGUUGCCCCGGUGGCCAGCUAGAGGUACAGAAACCAUUGUGGGUGCACUAGCUAUGUUGUGAACAAAGUUUGUGUAGCUCAUUCCAUGUCCAAAUGGGUACACCACUUCACCCUUAUAGAAUCUAUAGGUUCUUCCUGGAUACCCUUUUGAUUGGCUUGACCUCAUGCCCAUUUCUGUCAUUGGGAGAUUUGUUAUGUAAUCUUGUGGGUACCAUGUCAUGGGCAGCUUCCCUCCUGCAAGAAACAACUUUACGUGACUGACCAUUGACAUAUGAUAUAAAUUUUACCCUGACGUUUAAGCGAUUUGUCCCGCCACAUAUUUAUGUUUGCAGAAACCUAUCAAAAUCUUAUAAUUUUACAUUUCAGAAAUAUUAUAUUACUAGUUAAAAUUAUGAUUCUACAUUUUUACAUUUUAUUUUGACGAGUGACAUGAUUAUUACUAAAAUGUAAAAGUGUAGGUUCAUAAUAGAUUAUAUAAACUUGAGGUACCACAAGACAAAUAGCGUAAAUUUCAGGACAAAUCUAUGCAUUUCGUGAUAUAAAUUGUAUGAAGUGAGCAAACCUGGGUUAGUUGUUCCAAACAAGACAUCAGCAAUAGCUGCUCCACCGGCUUGGCCCGGAUAACCAGUCCAUAAGAUUGCAGAGAUUUUAGGAUCGUUCUUAGCAAAAGAAACAUCUAUUGGCCCACCAGACAUCAAGACCAGAAUGGUUGGGCCCUUUGAGGCUGAAGCAACUUUAGACACGAACUCCUGUUGGCGUCCUGGAAGAAGAAGCCCAGUCCUGUCUCUAAACUCUGCCUCAAUAGAUUGGUCAAGCCCCAUCACUAGAACUGUUGCAUCCGCUUGGCUUGCAGCUCCAAUUGCUUCACCAAAUAGCUGGUCACUAGCACAACCCACAUCUGGACACCCCUGUUUGUAAAUUGUCCUGGCAUAACUUCCUAUUCCUUGCAACGGCGUCGUAUAGCCACAAGCAACCCCUAAAAAAAGAACAUUAAGCCGAUUUUCUGCUAGCUUUACAAAGGAUUAGGCUUAGGAAGCAAAACCUACCAGCAUAAUUUCCAAUCAUAGUAACAGUGACAUUGGAGUUAGGCCCAAUUACAGCAAUGGUGCGAUGGCGGUGAGUAAACAAAGGCAAGGAAGGACCAUGAUUAUUAUUUUUUAAAAGAACAAUGCCUUGCCUAGCAGCUUCAAGGGCUAGCUCUUGGUGGGCUUGGGUACACACAUCUUCUGGGCCCAAGUUUCCAUAUGGGUGCGAAGAUGGUUCACCAUCAAACAUCCCUAGCCUCAUUUGGACAGUUAAAGUAUUAACCAAAGCCCCAUUUACAUGGGCUUCAUUAAUUAGCCCUCUUUUAACUGCGUCCUGCGUGUGCUUUGCAAGGAAAGGACCACAGUCCAAAUCUAGACCUGCUUUUAUAGCAUCAGCUGCUGCCUCUUCAGGAGUUGAUGUAUAAUGUUGCUGAUUGUAAUAAACACCAACAGAAUCACAGUCUGAAACAAUAUACCUGAAAAAUUUUGAAAUUAAGCAAAAUUUUCCAAUGAUAAAAAUAUUUACUCAACAUGAUACAAUCAAACGGCUCUUACCCAUUUAGGCCCCACUGGGUUCGUACAGUCUUCUGUAGCAGAUUAGGGUCUGCACAAGUGGGUAUGCCAUUAACUUGAUUGUAGGAGCACAUUACACUUGCUACCUUUCCUUCUUUUACACACAUCCUGAAUGGCACAUCAAAUGUAUCUACUAUGUCCUGUUUGCUUACCUGUUUCGCAACCGUAGAUUAACAGCACGUGAUUAUCUAUUAUCUAACAUUAUUUAUAUUAUUAUUGUUUAUGGAAACAACUCAAAGAAAAAAUUUCUAUUUUCCUUAAUUUGAUGGCAAGUUAAUUGCAAAAACUAUAAUGGCUAGGGCAAAAAGAAAACGACAUUUUUGACGGUUGAUGGUCCUAACUUCCAUGCCAUUAAUGUCCAAAGUAGACAACCAAACAGGUUGAUUCUGGUUCCUUUCAAUUACUAUAAAUUAUACGUACGUCUCCUUUUACUAAAAUUACCAUCUUGUCAAUAAAAAUCAAUGAUCAUAAACCAACAAUCAAAUUCACGUAUAAAUUCUCAUCAUAAAAGCAGUGUACCUUAGCAUUAAAGUGGAAGCGAUCCACUCCAUUCCAGUUAUCGAGGUCAUACGCAGUGAAAUGUUUACAACAAGCUGCAACCUUCAACCGGUCACCCUCGUUUCCCUGUAAACCCUUAACAUAACUAGCAGCAUAUUUACCGACUACUAAAGGAUCUUCACCGGGAGUCUCCUGUCCACGUCCCCACCUUGGGUCUCGAAAUAUAUUUACAUUUGGACUCCAAUACGUGAGCCCGCCCAUCCCUCCAUUGUACAUUGCUCUAGCUUCGUCUGACACAACCUGCCCACUUGAUGUAUUUUAGCAUCUCUACAAAGUCUCUAUAUUUCUUAACUACAUAAAAACAAAUCCAAAACUCGCUCGCCAUUUGUCAAAUUUUAAUAAUUCAUCACUCUUUUUCUUCUAGUGACCAAUAUAAAUAAUUGCAACUUGGCAAGUUGCAACAGGUAAUUAAUUAAUAAAUUCAAUAUAAUGAUUUUUUCUCUUUUAGAGAUUUAAGUUUCUAAAAGUACCCUUUACAUGAAAAUGGAAUUUUUUUUUUUAAGUAUAUUAAAGGAUUUUAUUAUUAAAUAUCACUUAUCGAAGAACCAAUGACAAAUCAUGAGGAUUGCGAGAAUCAUUUUUCUAGACAUGACAUGCAAUGAAUAGCCUGAAUUAAUAAUAAAUGGACAACAAAAUUGUGGACCGUCAAAUAAAGUUCGGAAUUUUAUCAUUAUAAACUAUUAACGAUACAUAUAUAGUGUUCAUGGCCCACAAAACACAGUUUGUUAGUUGGUUUGUUCAUUGUAACGUAAGAAUGAAUAGAUUGGUCCUUUCAUUAUUUGAAUGACCUAAGCAAGCAAGAAAUUGCAGCAAAAAGCUCUAGUAUAGACACACUAGGCACGAGCAAGCAUGGUGCGGUUAACAUGACGGAAAAUAAAAAACAAAACAUAUAAAAGGUUAUCUUCCCUAAGAAACAAUACAGAACUGUUCAAUCCAGCUCUGUUUUCAAAAAUAAAGUUAUAAACUAAUGAAUAUAUAAGGGAUUAAAAAGAAAUCUGACCCGUCCAAUAGCCUCCCACAAAGUAGCAUUGAAAGAAGCAGCGGUAGUGAUGACUUGAGGGAAGCUAGUAGCUCCAGGGAAGGCCCCACCGAACUUAGUGCCUGGACCCACAUUGGAAACCCCAUGAAGAGCUUCCGACCACCACUCAUACCCUUUAAUCCCAAGCCGAGAAACUGAAGCAGCAUUAUUAACCAGCAAAACAACCUUCUCUUGCAAUGUCAAUCUCCCAAUGAGGUCCUUAACUCUAUCCUGUAUUGGUAACUUCACUUGGCAAAACGGCAGGUUCCUCGUCGUUUCUUCUUUUGGGUCGCAAGCAAAUGGCUCAAUGGCUUUGCUAGUUCUCCAAUAAAAACAACCCACAAAGAAAAUCAAGAAAAUAAUAAAAUGUCUGUUAGUGGAAGCCAUUUUCUUGGAAGGAAAGAAGGAAAUGGUGAAAAAUGUUUCUUGUUCUUUUUAUGAAGAUGGAGGCUAAGGGAAGUGAAAAGUGGUGCAUAUAUAUUGGCUAGGGAAGUGAUGAUGUAAGAAAGAAAGUGAAAAUUUGAUGAUUAGAUAUUCAAGUUGGUCCUUUAGCUGUUAAAGAAUAGAACACAAGUAAAAGCGAUAAGCUUUUUCUUUUCUUCUUCUUUUUUUUUUUAAAUCUUUUUGUGUAUAGUGGGCUAUAAGUUGGGUGGAUGUUGGAUAACAAAAUUUAGUGAACCUACCUGCCGUUUUGAAGAGAUUGGCAAUGGUAAUUUUUGAUUGGUUAGUUGGUAGGUCCAGUUGGAGGUUAGAUAAUCCAAAUUGACGAAAUGUCUCUAAUAAUAUUUUCUUCAUCCGGAAAAUUUCUCCCAAUGGCUGGCUGGGAAGCGUCAAAUGUACAUUUUUGGGAGAUAAAGAUCAGGUGGAAUAGAGUCGAUAGAUUGCACCAGAAUUUAUAUAAUGGUCUUAAAUAUGUAGCAGUAAAACAUAUAAUUAUUCGCAUAAUCAAUGAAUUUAUAAUAAGUUUUAAUUAAGGAUACCCAUUUUUGGUAUCGUGGUCUGAAUUGCACUUGAUCAGUAUACGUAUAUAUCACACAAUCACUGAAUUCUGAUAGAGAGUUAAAAACUUAAAAUAGAUAGAUAAAAAUAGCUUCACUUGAAAGAUAGGUCAGACACGAAGACUCAGACACUCUAAGCACUAAGGGUACGGUGAUAUGAUUGCAUUACCAGAUGGAAUCAAAAAACAUUAGCUCUUUAUUUUCUUUCAAAAAUUGUAAAUGUAUUUUUGUUUUAAACCAGAAUGCAUAAUCCCUCGGACUGCAUAGUGAAAAAGUUUUUAGCCCCUCUGAUAAAAUUUAAAUAUUUUGCUUUUAAAUAUAUUUGUAUUUAUAGUUUAAAAAGAUAUUAGAAAAAAAAAAACAGUUAUUCAAAAUAAUUUACAACAGAAGGAUAAAGGUAGGAAUAUAAAAAAAACGAAAAAGUCUAACAAACAAGUGUUCAUUUUACAAAACUAACCAAAAUAUAUCACUUAAGCAACAAGCCAAAUAAUUUAUAUUCUCAAAUCCAUUAAAUUUAAAUAUGUUUUCAGAAAAUAUUAAACAUGUUAGAUUGUUAUUCCACUUGCAAAUUGUUCGUAAAUUAACGGAUCACAGGACUAUUUAAUUUGGAUUUUAUUACUGACAAGUGAGAUUUUCAAAAUUAAGGAUUGCAGAGUUGCAAUUGGCUUGAACACGCGGCUGAGUUUAUAAUUUAAUGGAGGUUUUUCUUGUUAGUAGUAAACAAUUUUAUGCUCCAAUAAUGCAUCUAAUGGAUAGAACAGCUUAGAUGUUUUCAAGCAAGAUUUUUUGAGAGAAAAUCAAGGAAUUUAGAUCCGAUCUGCUCAUGAUUUUAAUAAAUUAUAACUACAGUUUUUAUUAGCAAACCAACUAAAUUUGGUCAACCUAUUUAGUUUUCUAACCCAUUUUUAUUAAAUUGAACUAGUGGGAUAGGUCUAUUCUAUUCCUAACUUAUUUAAGUUAAAACGGAUUUUAGGAAUGAAUCCAUCCAUAUUUGUUUGUUUUUCCUAACAUUGAAAACAAGAUUUCACCAAUAACCAUUUCUUUUAUCUUAAUGGUCAAAAAAAAAAAAAAAAAAAUGAUGAACUUGUAUUACUUGACUUUAUCGCAAAUGAAUGAUACAUAAAGGUAAGAGAGGCUAAUUAUGGAUGCUAAGCUGUACCAACUGUAACGUAAUAAUGAAAUUAUGAAAGCUUUGAAAGGGAACUUGAAAAAGAACCUUCAAUUUAAUUAUUGUGGUAAUAAUUCUGAAGAUUGAUGAUUGGUUAUCUAACUGAUUAAAUUGUCAUUGUGGGACCUUUCCUUCAACAACCCAUGUUAAAUAUUUUGCUCUUAUCCAUUUGGUCUUCUCCCAUCCCAUUCUUCUAUUUAUGUCUUUGCCAUCAAAGUUUUUUCCCUAAAAGAAAAAAUAAAAGAAGAAGAAAUGAUUAUUCAUUAACAGGAAGGACAUUUUUAGUUGGUUUGCCUGUGUAUAGGCUUGUUUAUUUGGAAAUUUAUGUUUUGGUUUUCAAUCUCAAAAAAAUUAAUGCUUCCUUUGUUUUUGAAAAAUGAUUUACUUUGAAAAAUAUUAUUGACCCAUAUCAUACAUCCAAUCCAAAUAGAUAUAGGGCGUCAAAAUGUCCCAUAGAAGACUCCAGUGUGGCCUGCUAGCUACAGAACAGACAUUCAGCCUAAUUCACGGCUUGAAGCCCAAACAACUUUUUGGGCCUGCUUGGUCCGAGAGAGAACCCGAAACUUUAACAAACAUUUGCUCAAGAAUUUUUUUUUCUUAAGUGAAAAGACAUCUCCAUGAAGGAAUUAAUAAAAAAAAUUGACCGAAAUGCAAUCCCGCUGAGUAAGAAAACUGUUUAUAGAGUUUGUUUCGCAAAAUUAUCUUAUUUAGCGGUGUAUUAGUUGUGAUAGUAGUUAUUUUUAUUUAAUUAGCUUUUCAUUAAAAGUUAAAUAAAGGUAUAAUUUUUUAUCAUCUAUUCGUUCUGAUCAAAUUUAUUCUAAAUAUUAAUACAAAAUACUUUGUUAAAACAAUAAAAAUAAUAUAAAAUAUUGUUUUCUGAUAGAGCCAUAUAAUAAACCAGUAAUUAAUAAGUAGUGAUAAAUAAGUUAAUCACAUGUUCUUAGCUUCUUAUACUUCACUAAGAAAACUUAUUCAACAAUAAUAACUUAUACAGGUAUAAUAAUUUAGUUUUUCUCUAUGCAAAUAAACACGAGCAAAGCAAACAUGCAUUUCUACUUAGCAUUAACAAUUCAUGCCAUGACAAACUGUUUAACUAAACAUGCAUAACAAACACAGAACCUAAUAUUAAUUAUAAUAAUCUUUUUAAUUAAAUAAUUAAUUAACCUUGGAAAUUAAGUAACCAGUGAGGUAUCUUUUUCUCUAUCUUCUUCUCUAUAAUAGUAUCCAAGCUAGGUUUCCACCCUUUCCCUGAAAGCUGCUUGCUCAAAUACUCCGGUCGGUUCUCCAAAAUCUCCGGCAACAACUCCGACGACUCAUGAUUCCUCUUCUCCACAUUAUUACUUUCCUUCCUUUCCAAAACAAUCUUGUGUCCAUCCGCAGGGCAUAUCCUAGCAAACAAAGGAAGAAAUCUCGACGAAGACAAAAACGACCGUGAUCUUAAGAGAGAGGUUGCACACGAAACGACAUGUCUAGCUUCCUCUGAAGAUAAUGAAGCAGGUUUUCCUCUUUUAAUUGGGAGCAUUAGAUACAGCUUCUUCAUUUCAAGCUUCUUGUCAGCUGGCAAUGGAGUUGGCCUCUUUUCAGUCAAGUUUGGACAGAACUCGACCACCACCUGUUGUGGAUGCUCUAGCAUCAGUUCCGCUACGGUUACUGGCUGGUCGAAUUCUUGAACGCUGCCGUCCGAUAGAAUUACUUUUCCGGUGACGUUUGUUGAUUGGGUAGUUAUGUAAUUCCCCAUUGUUGAUGAGAAGAACUCAUGCAAUGGAGAGGAAGUUUUGGUUUUGGGGCAUCUUAUUGAGAGAAUAUUUAUGGGAAUUUGCUUGUGGGAAGUGUUUGUUAAACCGCUCCAUCAUGUGACAUGUAUAAUGGUGGACUUGGUAAUAACUAAAUCUCUCUAUAAAGAUUAGGCCGCUGGGCGAUUUGAGUGAGUUUUUUCUUCUUCUUUUUUUUUUUUUUUAAAAAAAAAGAAGAAUUAACCUAUAUUAUAAUUAAGUUACACGCUUUAUUAAUUCAUAAAUCACUAUUUAUAUAUAAAAAACGAAUCAAAUGUUAAUAAUUCAUAAACCACUAUUUAUAUAUAAAAAAUGAAUCAAAUGUUAAUAAUUCAUAAAUCACUAUUUAUAUAUAAAAAAUUAAUCAAAUGUUAAUAGAUGAUCAGAUAAACAGAAAUAAUUAUAUUUCGAAGCAAAUUUUACACCUAAGAUUUGAGUUUGAAAUCUAAUAAAAUGUUACACUUAAAAAAAAAUAAUAGGAAUAUUUAUUUAUCACUAUUGAUUUUUUUUUUUUCUAAAAAAAAAAAAAAAAAAAGAACAAGAAUUCGGAGCAUAUUUUAUAGUCCCGUGAUAUUUGACUAGGUAAUACGCAAACGUUAGGCUUGGUCCAAUACAAUGGAGGUGGUAUUGGUAGUGGUAGAUUCCUGGAAUUUUAUUAAAAAUUUAUCACCUUUUAUUUGUCUUUCACCUAACGAAGCCAAGGGAAGUCAAGGAACGGUUCAACUAUAACUAUAUUAACUAAUGUCUUUAAUUAAAACCAUAGGAUAAUAUAAUAUGUCAUAUCAGAAAUUAAAAUUGGACCGUCCAAGCAUCUAUUAAUCUCACGAGGGCUACUAUACUGUUGGUCAUAUGGGGAUGUAUUAGAAAACUGUACAAUAGAAGAAGCAUUCUGCGUGCAUAUUAAAGGGAGAAAACUGUAACCAAGCAUGAGCUAAUAUUUAUUUAAUUAAAUAUUUAUCCAUAUUUAUUGAAAGCAAGAUCUAAACAGAGAUUUAUUAAUAUUUGUUCUUUUCCCCUUUUUAGCACAUUGAAAUUCGACUCUUAGGUUGGGCUAAUACUAAUGAAAGAGAGGCCGCCCAUUAUUUCUAGAAGGCCUAAAAUGUUAGGCCACGUUUGACCCAUUCGCUAUCAAAAGAUUAUAUGUCGUUUCACUUUGUUAAAAUUCUGUGUCGUUUAUAUGUGUGCCAUACAGCCAAUAAAAAAGGUUUACCAUUUUAGUUGGAUCAUUCAUUCAAUAAUUAUUUCAAAUAUUCAAAUUGAAUAUAUGAUUGACAAAUAACAGCUGAUGAUAUAAACAAAUUCAUGAUUGGAGUUAAUUUUCUACUUCUAUUUCACAAUUCAAAUAUAUUCCCUAUUGGAUUUCCCUGUUCAUAUAUGUUACAACGAUUCGGAAAAUCAUUCCCCCAAUAAUAUUUAUUAAAAAAAAAAAAUCAAAGCUCCUCAGUGAUGGCCUCUAAAGCUGGAGUCCAUUGCCUGCAUUUCUCCAAUCGGCAACAGGCAAAACCCAUAUCCAGCUCUUCCUUAACCUCACUCUCUGCCUCAUUAGCCACAGCCGGUAAAACCUUAGCGCCCCUCCGCCCUUUGCUUGACUUUUUCUUCUUAGAUGCAGCAGCAGCAGACUCUAUAAUCCCCAGCUCUGACUCCGAAAUCUUACGGUUAAGCUUACUUAAAUGAACUAGCAGGUAAAACUUUCCCGCCAAAAGCUCAUCCUCAGCUCGCAAAGCUAUUAACCGGCGGGUCCGCCGGAGUUCUUGCACAGGAGAGACGACGUGGCCGGGUUCUUCGAGCAUGAGCUCCGCUGCUUUAGCUGGGGCCUUUACUUGCCUCAAGUUCCCUUGAGAAUCUAUAAGCUUAGCAGUUUUACUGGGGAUAUAAAAGCAGGAAGAGUAGUUUCCCAUAUUUGCAAAGUUGAAGAUUAGAGAUUGCGAUUUCUUUUACUUAUUGCCUGUUUUGGAUGUUUGAUGUUCGAUGUUUUAUGAAUGAGGAGUAACGGUGAGUGGUCCAUAUUAUAUAUGAACAAUAAAGGAGAAGGAAUGAGAGGAGACCAGGGAGCGGCGAGUGAGAGAUAGAAAGAGUCAAAGCGUCAAAGAGAUGACCGGCCAAUGAAAUGCGGAAUGCGUGUAAAAUAAGUUGAUUUAAACGCGGGUUUCCUUUUUACCGAUUGCGUUUGAGCGUAGCAAUGACGAUUGACGCAGCAGUGAGCAUAGUUAGUAAAGUGAAUGUUGUGUGCGUUCAAAUCCGAGUGCGGUAUUGUACCAAUUAUGUGACAAAUGCCUGGUUGUGGUAAUUUGUGGGGCCACUGCUUAUUUGUUUUUAUGUGGUUACGAAUCUGCUGAUUGACUACGCCAGAGACUAGACUAGAGCAUUUCAGAAUCUUCUCCUAUUCCCAUCCUUUCACUAGAAUAUCACAGGUCAGGAACAGUAUGUACGAUUUUAAUCGAGGAAUGAUGGCCGACUCGUUUGAGCUUCAUAGCACGAAUUAAACGGUAUAAAAUGGACCAAAUUAGUCUUCUAGUUGAAAUUUUUUGUUAACA